rnacentral:lncRNA from 1 species
UUUUUUUUUUUUUUUUUCUCACUAUCCUCUUUUCUUUCCUCCUUUUUAUUUUCCAGAUCGAUUGGAAGAAUAUUAUCCUGUCUAGAAUGUGGAACUAUGGUGAUUCCACCAACUGUUGGCCCUGAGUAAUAAAUAGAAUGUGGAAAUCAAAGGAAGAAUUCAUGAGCUCUCUAAAAAGGACGACGGAGUCUUAUUUCGAGAUCCCUUUCUGCCUAAUAAGAUAAUAAAAAAGAGCAGCGACCCAGGAUUCAAGCCUACAAAAAUUGAAUGGAUGGGAUUCCAAAAAGUCUCAAUACAUACUUGAUCAAUGCAAUUUGUUUUGAGACUUUCAAUUCUCUCAGUUAUUACACCUCCAUACUUUGAUAGUCCCCAGUCCCUCUUGAACCAACCUUUUAAAAGCUUAUAUAUGCCCACCACAAUAUCAACAACCACCAGUUUGUGAAAUAACUUGAAGCCAUUUUUGAAGUCUUCUAACUGGGAUGUUGCAACCCCUCCAUACACAGAUAUUCUUUCUUGCCAAAUUAAGAUUCUAGCAUUUGAUUAAUGGAGAAAAUGUUUGUUUAUAUAAAUCUUGAUUUGAGUACUUAGCAAGUGAAGAAAGAGACAGAGUCAUGAAGGUAAUGAUUAUUAAUUAAAGCACAUGAUAGGAUUUAGAGAAAUCAUACUAAGGGUACGUGGCCUAAAAUUCUAGGCCGAACUCUCUAAUUGCCACAAUAUAAUCAAUAAGCACAUGUUUUGGUUAUAGUCUUGCCUUUUGAAUUCAGGGAUUCCACUUGAUAUGGAGUCAUGAAUAGUGAUUAAAUUUGCCAACUAGUUGGGUUGAAUUUAAACCAAAUUGUAUGGUUAAUUAAUUAUCGUCAUCUUGCUAGCAAUGAAAGAAGGAAAAUGGGAGAGGGAAACAACAUUUGGAAAAACUUUGACGAAGUCCAGUCAGAAAACUAGAAGUGAAUUUAGAUUUUGGACAAAUUUGAAUUGGUCCAAGAACAAUUACCUCAAAAUUCUUGUAAUUAAGAAUUUGGAAACCCAUCCUUUCAUGGGAGUUAUUAGUCUUUCAGUUGACAAAAUAACAAGUUGUAAUAGCUUACAUUGUAACUAAUGCAUCUGUCCUUUUGUGGCCCACAGAGAUCACUAUCUCAUUUCUAAUGAUUUAAGCUUUUAGGUCAAAUUAAUAACCCAAGUUUCAUCUUCAUUUAUGAACUUCAUUUUUUUCUUCGCUUUACUUAUUAUUGAAGUAAUGGAAGAGAGCAUGUGAGGCAGCUGGGAGGCCAUGGAGCAUCAGCACACCCUUGUUUCCUAGAAAUGACAAAGUCCAUUACUAGUCCAAAUGUUGAAUUUUCUUCCCCAGCUCAUAUUUUUACAAAAAUGGAUUCCCUAUAUGAUUGCGCUUAAUUUCUUAACCUACAACCAACCUAAUUUUUUAAUACUCUUAAUUGUUUCAGAUAAUCUUAGUCUUAAUUCUAUUGGUUGUCUGUGUAAUAUGAGAUGGAUUCACUGGGAUGAGUAGAUUUCAAGCAGUAGUGAGUUGGUCCAAACCUGUUGCAUCUAGUUCAUAUGCAUGCAAGUAUAAUCUCAGCAGUUUGAUGAUAGUUAAUACUCGUAAUAUAAGUACCCAUCCAGCAAGUGCAUGACAGCAACAAAAAUUAAGUACAAAGUAUUUGCAGAUCAAUAAGGUAUAUGGUUUAUGUACGCCGGGGAAUUGGAAAUUUUGCCAUGGCAAUGUUACCGAUGACUGUUUAUCAGCCUUGAGGUGGAGUGUUUUCCAAGGUAAUUAAGAGAGUUUGAUCUGGACAUAUGCCCAAACCUGUUCAUGCAUUUACAGGUUAUGAAUGGAAUUUCAUGAAAACAACAAUUCUGGUUAUUAAUAAUGGAAGAUGACCAGAAUAACAAAGGAUGAGGGAGAUCUUCCUUCUUCACAUCUGGGAGAACCAGACAUUGAUUGAUAAAGUUUGGAACAUAAAGAGAGUUACAAAGAACUGGGGAUUUUCCCCAUCUUGACAUCUAACUGUUGCUUAGUCUUGACAAUGAUUACAGCAUGCAUUAAACUCGAUAAAUUCUUGCCCAAAUAAAAGAUAGAUAUGGUAGAAGUGGUUUUUUUUUACAAGUUAGUUAACUUCACCAAUUAAUGGAGUCCAAGUUGAAUGGUUGCUCCUGUUGCUGUUGCUGUUGCUGUUGGUGAAGAGAGUCUAAAACCUUAGAAGAAGAAGCCUGAAAGUUUGAGAUAAAAUCAGUUCCAAAGUUAGAAAUCCCUUGUGGCAGAAAGGAGUAAUUUUCAGUACUUGUAGCUUCUCUUGGUCUGUAACUCCCAAGCUGUAAUGCCUUAAUAAGGAGGGAAUUCAUCUGAAGAUUUGGGCUUAGCAAGCUUGAAGACCAUGGAAGUGAUGGGAGACUUGCAGCUUCUCUUGCUGCAGCCCAAUUCAUAUUCAUGUUCAUGUUCAUAUUCAUGUUGAGGUUAUCAUCAGUACUAGUGUUAUAGCUCUGCGCUGAAUUAAUAUUGCUAAAUCCACUCGAUGAAUUCGCAAUGCUAUUCAUAUUUGGAAACUCAAUGUCUCCGAACUCGCUCACAAUUGUGUUUGUAUCACAAGGAGAUUCAAGAGAUGGUAGCGAUGACGGUGCCGGCUGGUGCGGUUUUUUCACUGCUGAGCUCUUUUUGAAGACCCUACAGACAACCCAUUCCUCCUAAAACAACAAACCAUACAAAAAUAAGAAAGAAUCAUCACAUAAAGAGCGGAUGAAGAGAAGCUAUAAGGAUUUGAAGUUGUGCCCUAAUUUACCUUUUUGGGUUUGAAAGAAAGCUUGGUUUCUAGCCUAUAUUCAUGCAUAACCCAGUUGCUUUUCUCACCCUUAGGAGCUCUACCCUUGUAAAAUACUAGGGUUUUCUUCAUUCCUACCAGUAUCCCAGCACGGUAUAUCUCCUUGUCCUUCCCAGUGGUCUUCCAAUAGCCUGCUUCAGUUGCUCGGUUGGUUCGAAUGCCUGUCGGGUAUUUUCGGUCUCUCAAGCUAAAGAAAUACCAUUCUUUCUCUCCCAUGGAAGCCUUGGCUGCACCCAAUAUAUUCCAAAUUCAUCAUCACAUUUUGCUUCUUUAUAUUAUGAAGGAAUUUAAGAUAAGAACCAUACUUCAGCCAAAUUCAACCACUAGAAGUUCUAGAAUACAUCAUGUUCACAAUGCAGACCACAAAUUAAAAAGCCAUAUGAUGUAGGCAUCAUCUAGUUGAGUUGUUGAAUGUUGUUCAAACAUAAAUUAUAGGAAAAUACAAACCUUUGGAUCACUAAAGAGAUGUUCAUAAAAUAAAGAAGGGAAAAUAUUGCUACUGAAUAAAAAGGAGAAAAAAAAAUUAAAAACCUGAAGUGGGACAUGUAUCAGAAAUGGAAAAAAACAUUUUGUUUUGGAAAAAGUUUCGGGUUUUACCACACCCAAGUGUUCCAAAUUUUUCUGCUAAAUCAUCUGUUUUGAUCAGUUAUGAAUAUAAAUCAAGAGCAUAAAAUUAUACCACCCAAUAUUCAUCAGAUACUGAAAAAGGGGCCAUAGAAAAGGGAAAAAAAAAAGUCAAAUGGAAAAGGGUAUUCAGGAGUUUGAUGAAGAUGAUGAGAAUUUGAUCAAAUACUCAAAACUACCUGGGAGAUCCCAAGGUUCACACUUGUUGAGAUCGACAUCUGCAAUAGCCCUGGACGCGAAAUUAGUAUUGGAAACCUUGGGGGUGAGAUAAUAAGUAAUGAGUUCUUCAUCUGUUGGAUGGAAUCUGAACCCAGGAGGAAGACUCUCCUCCAUUUUUAUCAUCCAAAAACCAACCUGCAGGCUUCAGAGCCUAAAUAUUUCUCUUAGCAAAAGGGCAAAUCCUCUCUGAUCAGACAAGGAUGAUGCUUGAACCUUUAUCUUAUAACAUCAAGAUGAUGAGGUAUUAAUGGGGAGUACUUGUUUUCAAUGCCUCAACCUUGAAGAAGAAGCAGCAAUUGGUAGUCAUUCUUUAUUGUUUUUAUUUUCAAUACAGCUAACACUUUGACAAAGAUGGUGCAUGAGGAUUGGAAAUUUCUUACGGUUAGUAAUAUACCAAAAUGCCACUCCUGGAACCAUGAGCUAGGGUUAUUAAUUUCCAGAAGACCAUUCACCUUUGACAACGACACUGAUCGAUAAUUCAAAGAAGUAGACGUGAAGUUGUGCUAAUUUAUCCACAUCUCUUUUCUGCAGUGAUCGAGUGGCAAUAAAUUUGCUCAUGAAACAGCUGAGUCGUCUCGGUUACACCUGAUGAGAGCAGAUCAUACUCUUCCAUGACCAUGUCCAACCACCUUCACCCAUCUCCACCCACCCAAACCAGGGCUAACCUGAUACUAGUCCAAUCCAAUAGGAGAAAGGCAUUGUCACUGCCCCAUUAAUAUUCAAUUCACACUUGAAGGAUCGUAUCAAUUAUGGUUUUGUUAAGCUUGUACUUGUUUUUAUGAUUCUUCUGUUUGCCAAGCUUGAUUAAUGGUUUUAUUUCCAUGCAAGCCACACAGCAUAGAACUUCCUUCUUGAUGAUUUCAAGUCUAAUCCUAGCCAUUAGCCAUUCCCAUAUGAGAUGAUCGAGAUUCAUCGCAAUUGAAUAUUAGAUAACCAAACACUCUAUGAUCUUCCAUGGCUGAUCAUUCAUGCAUGCGUGUAAAUUCCUUUUUAUUUUUAUUAUAAAAUAUGGACAAAGAUUACUAGCUAGGAGUGGUUAAAAAGGGUCACCAACCCACACGACUGCAUAUUCUGUAAACACAGAUAUGUUAAAUCUUUUCUUAGUUCACCGUCUCUUUCAUUUGUCUUCACCGCCGACAUGUUUGUCAAUCCUAACUAGAACUUCCAUGUACUUGUUUCUGCUUUGGGUUUCUAGAAACACUCCAUUUCUAGUUCCAUUAAUAAAAGUACUGUCAGGUGUUUGAUAUCAGUUCAAGUUGUUUUUGGAUUAUUAUUUUGAAAUACAGAAAAAUAGUCUGCAAAAGUAUUUCAAAAUAAAAACCAUUUCAAAUUCUCAUUUUCCAUGUAAAUUAAUUUUUCCAUUUUUGUUUUCAUUAAAACCAAUCAAAAGUCCUUCAUUAAAACCUAACGCUUAUUCUAGAAUAUUAAACCAAUGGGCCAUUAGCAAUCUUCUUAAUAUAAUGACUACAAUUAAAAAAAUACUAAUCAUUAUUGGCUGCUACCUUUCUGGGUUUAUAAGCUUAAAUUACUAAGCAAGUUGGAUACGUUUGAUAGCGCAACUGUGAAAUAUUAUAUAGGGUAAGUAAGCUUCCAAUUGGACCAGGAACCAGUGGAUCUAGGGGCUUGACCCAAUUGGCAUUAAAUUAAACCGCCGGGUGUAAGCCCACUUUGUCCAUAUUUGAUACCCAGCUUGAGACCUUGUUCCCACUUUCCACAGUGCUCUUCCUCUCUCCAUUUUCCUUUCUACGGACAUGUCAUUCUUCUGGCCUCUUCUGGGCAACAUAUGCCAUGGAAAUCUCUGGUGAACAUCAUUUGUGAAGCUCAGGAACUAUAUGUACAAUGUCGUUAUUGAGUACUAUUUGGUAAAUCUAACAUAAAUUUGAACUUAAAUUUGAGAAAAUUCACAGCUCAUUCAUUAUCAAAACCUUUUGUCAUGUUUGAUAAUUGUUUUCAAAGAUAAUUUUGAAAACUAGUUUUUUAAAAUAGUUUUUGAAAUCAAUUAUUAUGUUUUAUAAAACAAAAGUUUAUUUGAAACAUGAAAUAUUUUUAACCUAUUUUUAAUGUUUUUUAAAAUAAUUUUAUAUUUAGUACUUCAUUUCUAAUCAUUCUCUAAUUCACGUAUAAUUAUUUUUUUUUAAAUAACAUUUGAAAAAUAAUUGAAAAGAAUUAAAAUAUGUUAUCCGAUAACACCAUGCUUUUUAUUUUUGAGAAUACAAAACAAUUUUUGGGUUGUUUUCUAUUUUUUAUUCUAAAAAAUAAAAUUUUUUCCUUAAAAACAACUACCAAAAUACUUUUUGUAUUUGUAGGUCUUAGAUUUUGAAGGUUUUGUUUGUUUUCCCAUGUGUACAUCUGGUCAUGAAUUGGAACGUGUGGCUGAAAAAUCUCUUGUGAAUAUCAUAGAUAUGUAUCUCUUUUUUCUAAUUCAACGACCAAGUUGGCUACUAGCAAAGGAAAUUACUAGCCAUUUACCUUUUCCGUAGUUUUUUCAAUAUUUACUUCUCAUGGUCAAAUGUAAGGUGGGAAUGGUUGGAUUUAAUUAAAUUGGUGGUAGUUAACCGAUCUAAGAAUUGAAUAAGUUGAUUUUUUUAAUUAAUCAUGAAUUAAUAAAAAAAUGAUUUAGGUGCCCAAUCAAAUCAACGGAUUUAGCUUGAUUCAUUCAAUUUGGACAAAAAUUUGACCCACAUAUUAAAAAAAAAAAAAAAAAUCCCUUUUAAGUUGAUUCAAAUCGAUUUGAAUUUUUUGGUUCAUGGGUUUCAUCAUAUUUUUUUGCCCCUAAUCUAAUUAUGUAAAUUUGUUGAAUUAGUUUCUGGAUUUUGAUGUGAUAUUGACAACAAAGUCAGCAAGAUUUUCUUUAAACAAGGGUUGUCAUGAGUCAUGACUCCCUGCUUGGGCAAUAAGCAAAUAAGGCCACCUUUAUUGGCCGCAACCGAGACCAAUUUCACCUUUUUAAGUUUUCGUUUGUUUUGGUAAAAGAACUUAAUCAAGAGAAAGAGAAAAAAAUGAAAUAUCUCAAAGGAGUAUACUUUUGAAGUCCUGCCUACUGAUUCUGAAAAGUUAUUUUAUCCCACUAAAACAGGGCACUUAAUCUUUUUAAGAGUAACCUAACUUGAUUUGGGCAUUACCAAACUCACAUCUAAUAUUUUGCAAGACCUUUUUUGUUCAAGGAGAUAACACAUGAGCUUUAGGAAACCAUCCAAACCCCCUCUUCAUCAUUAGCUUGUAAACUAUAACUUGAUCACAACAAUCAAAGAUUACUAGCACUUAGUAUGCAUUUAAUGCACGAUACCAUCACAUAAGCAAUCCAACUGCUUCCAUUAAGGAAGCCCCUAUCAAAAGGAUAUUCACUGACCCUUGAAAGAUAAGAUGGAGAGAAAUGUGUCUAAGCUAAUUCUAUGUUUGUCACUAACGAUCGUCCACUUAGAUAUCAAAAUCCUUAUGGCUUGUAAAGGCUAUUACACGUGACUAAUUAUUGUUUUGCAAUUAUCGUGAAAGCAUGCCCGAACAAUUAAAGGAGAAUGAUAUUGAUAUAAAGGCAUCAUCUGUGGAAAUGUACUAAAAGCUAAAGAUUGUUUAAACUCACAUCCAUGAUCAUGUAGAUCAAGAUUGCCCUAUGCUGAAGUCAUGGCAAGAACGGUUGACUGCAAUGGAGCAAUGAUGGAGAGAGAAGGAGUGUAAUUAACAACAGAUGGAAAAACUCACCAAAAUGAGUAAGUUAAUGCCUAGGAAAAUGUAAAAACAAAACUAAAAGUGUCAUAAGGAGUGGGCAACACAACCCUCGAAGCUAUGUCUGAAGGUUCAGUCUAGAAGUUACACAAAUGGAUGGGUGCGGUGAAGUAACCGCAAUAGUAGUUUUCAAGAAUAUGCUUCCUUCUGUCUCACCUUUACCAUUCUCUUACAAAGUUGCUCGUAACUAUAAAAAAACUUAUUCACUAAGGCCAAAAGUUAGGCUAUUGUAAAAGAAGACAUAAGAAUUUCCACUCUUAGUUCUAUCACUCUUACCGUGGUCAAAAGGGAAGAGUAAAGGUUUACUCUAAAAAUAAAAAAAUAAAAAAAUCGAGGCAUAGCACCAGGGUAAUAGAUUGAGGGGUCGAAGUAUCAUGAAAGCGGGAUUGAAUGAAGACAAAUGGUUGAAACAGGCCUAAGGUAAAAUACACUCCCCCAAACAUCUAUAAUGAAAAUAUUUGAUAAGAGAUUUGAUGGAUGAAAGACUAUAUAAAGCUAACUUCACUCCCUCAAGAUGCGAAGUAUAGAGACCUAAGCUAAUACUAUGAAUACCACAAGGAAUGAGAUUUGAGCAUUGGACAAACAAUUGCAACAACCUAAAAAACUUAUGAAAAGACUCAUAAAGAAAGGAUAGUUUUAAGUGUUUAUCAAAAGAUGGAACAAUGAAUCAACUCACCUAGACCUAUAAACUAAAGCAUCUAGGAUGAUCAUGGCCUUUGUGUUUAAUGGGUUGGGUGGCUAGUUUGAAAGCUUGAGACAAAUAUCUAUACCUUAAGGUGAUAGACCUAUCAUGGGCAGGAUCUUUCCAACUGUUUUUCAUAUCCACGAAGCGCUUAGAAGCCCUCUAAGUCAAUCUACCGAAACCCACAUGAGAUUGUAAUCAAGAAAACCCACAAAGGCAUUUGAGGUUGUAGGGCUCAAUCCCAACUUAUACUUUAUUUCUUCUCUAAAUAAUAAUACAAGACAUAGCUUAGCAAGACUCCCAUAAUCUCUUUAGUGAGUUCAUGCUCUCUCUCACGAUAUGCUUUAAGAAGGCUCUCAUUUUCUAAUAUACCUUUGUAUAUUCUUUAUGAUCUUGUCUAGAUUGAUUCAGAAGGCAUUUAAGUCCUCUUUUUAUAAGUGUGGCACCAACUACUCCUAUUUUGAUAAGGACCAAGCAAUCUUAGUAUAAUUACAAUCAAAAUAUGAACUCUUAUUCAAAUCCAAACUAUAAUAAUAAUUUAAAUCCAAUUCUUGGUUUUCAAAUGUCUUCGACCCAUUCCUCAUCCAUUUGAAACUUCUCAUGUUGCUACCUCUUUGCAUCAAUCAGCCAACCAACCCUUCAAGUGCUUGGUUUGUGCUACGAGAUGUCUUCCUUAGGCUUGCCCCCAAUGCUAAUAUGUUUCUCUAUGUUCUGCUUCAAGUCUACCCAUGUUUGUGCCUUGAGUUAGUCUAUUCAUGUGCUUGAAUUAGUCAUGCAUUUGAUUAGCUGCUUGUUGCAUUUUAUGCAGCCCGCUAGCCGCAUGCAUCUCUAUGCAACUCAUAUGUAUGCUGACUCAUGCCCAAUUGGUGUCUCAGCUGAUUUGUGUUCAGCUGGUGCUCCUUGAUUGAGGAAGUGAUCAACAAAAUUUAUACCUAUAACACCAUACACUAGGGUAGCAAAUACAAAGCUACUAUAGUAUAGUGGCUCUAAGGAUCGUUCACUGGGAAUGAAUAAAUUAACAAGCAGUCAAGGAUACCAAUUCCAAGUGAAUUGGUUUUGUUUCAUUUCACGGUUAGUUUAAGAAAUAAAACACAAAGUUUGAUUGGUAAAGGUUUAGACUUAAACUACCUAACUUAACAGAAGUUUGGAAUAAUUUAGGAAGAAAAACAUUCCUUGGAGAUUUAGGUUCACUGGGGUGGUUCCUCAUGCAAAAGACAUAGCUCCGGUCAGAUGGUUCAUUUCCUCGCAUUAGAGAUUCAACUUAUAGUCAAUUCUCUAACCGGUGAUGUACAGAGACUCCUUCAAUUAGAUUUCACUUUAAUUCUCUCACUGAUACAACUUGCAAUGGUUCAUGCCUCUCACGAGCACUUACCAUUCAAGGUGAUCUUUAACCUUGGACUUCCCUUCACAAACUCGCAAGAGAUAACUAAUGGAUGUCUCCUAGGAGUCCAAAAGCUUACCAAGUGUUGGUAAUUCCAGAAAAUCCUACCUUGAAGUCACCUACCAGAGGCUCGCAAGGGGUAAACUAGUGCAUUUCCAUGGUUGGAAAUCACUUGCCUUACCAAGUGUUGGCCCAGGUGACUCUAAGGUGUUUUAAGUUAACUAAAAACAUUGAAAUCACUAAAGGAUUUCACUUCCUCUUCAUUAAAAACUAAAACCACAAAGCUUUGCAUUUUUGCACUUGGAACCUUCCCCGGCACCCUUAGCUCCAAGGAAUUGGAGGUUUAGUUACUCAUUCUCUGGGGAAAACUCCUCAGAGAAUUCAUAACUUAGAAAUAAAAUGAAAAUACAAAGUGAGAAGGUAAGGCAGUAGAAAGAAAAGACUUUACUUGCUUACCAAAUGGUUUUCAGAAGGAACUCCUCUCUGAGAACAUGCUCCCGAGAGGUAUUUAUAUCAAAGCAAUAUAAAACUAAUUAUUACAUAGAUAUUUGGUCUUUUUACUAACUUAAAAACUAAGGAAUCAUGUAAUUGGUGGUUUACAAGGAGUAUUUUGGAAUUUAGACAACAAAAAUCUAAUGGAAAAUAUCUCCCAAUGUCGGUAGCAAGCUUCGGGAGGCUUCCGGAGCCAUUUCGCAGGAGAAAAGUGAGGUCUGCGAAAUUUCGCAGACACCCAAGAGGGCUGCGAAAUUAUUUCGCAAGACCGAGCUAUCUUCACCAGGCUGCAAAGUUGGCUUCCAUCUUGAAGUUUCCAGCUCCCUUCUCGCGGCAUGGUUCGUGCAUCGUCAGAAGGAGAAACACCUUACUGUACAAAAGUGUUGCGAAAUUCUCGCAACAAAAGGCUGAUUCCGCAACACUUUAGAGUGACUGGCUUGUAAUGGCUGCAACUUCUUCGUUUCAACUCCGAAUCAUGCACCGUUUGAAGCAUUGGAUUGUUGACUUCCUGAGCUUUGAAAUGGUAUAUAGCUUGCAUCAUUUGGACUUCAGAAAGUGCUCCAAAAGUGGCUGCUACGACUGUCAUCAAGAAUAUGCUCCAUGACUGAUCCUCUUUGCUUUUUCUCCUUGCAAUCCGGAUUCACUCUUGGCAAUUGAAUUCUAAGCUUUGCCCAAGAUUCCUCAUAGCUCUCCUCAUUCUUGACUUGCUUUGGUGAUCAAAAUACUAACAAGAACACCAAAACUUACACAAAGUGAUCAAAAUUGCUUUAAAGGAUCCUUAACAUGUCAAUUGAGUUAAAAGGCCUAAACUACUACUCAAAAGUGUUAAAAAGGAUUAAUUAAAGGCUAUCAAAUAGCACUUUUUGAGUAGUAAUCACUCCCCCCAACCGACAUAUUGCUAGUCCCUUAGCAAUAUAGGAGAGAAAAUUAAAAAUAAAUAGCAAACUAAUCUACAAUUUACAACAUCAUGCUAAAGGAAAAUAAUUCUUAAGUGGCAUGAUGAUCUAAUUCUCACAUGAAUCAUUGAAGAAAUACAAACCCAAAUCUCAACAAGAGUCAUAACAAACUAUGCUAAGCACUGUCAAUCAAGGGAGUGCAUUAUGCAAACUGAAGUUUUAAAAUCAUUUCUACUUUCUAAGAACUAAACUUCAAUCUUCCACAAAAAUCUAUGUGUAUUGGUUCCUUAGGUUCCGAGAAUAAUAUGCUACUAAUCUCACCCCCCAACCUAACUCUUUUCAACACUUUAGCAACCUGACCAAAAUCAAUAAGAAAAGAACACACUUUCAUUUUUUUUUUUUUUUUUUAAGGUAGCUUUAUGGGGUACUCUUUCUGACUUGUCCAUGUAAUGGGGGUCCAUCGAUGACUCCCAACCAAUUAAGGUUUAGGGCACCAAGUUUUAAGGAUCUUUCAACCACUAACUCCUCGGAUUUUUCCCCGGACUUUUAAGAAUGAAUUUCUAAUACCCAAGCAUCUACCAUAUGCUAACUCUACCUAUUCACCCUUGUAACGAGCAUUGAGGUCGGUGACUCCCAACCAAUUAAGGCUUAGGGCACCAGGCUUUAAAGAUUUUCACCAUAUACCCCUCAGACCUUGCUCGGGUUUCAAGGCAAGCAAACAAAUUUCUUUAUUUCAAAGGCUCAUUGGCCUUUUGCAGGGUGUUUCAAUUUUUAUCAAAUGAGGUCAAAUAUACCAAGUCCCAAAAAUAUACUAAGUCAAGAGGGAAAUAGCUUUUCAUCUUAUAAUCGGAAACUAAUGUGCACAGUGUGUGGAUAGCUUAAAGUGGAAGAACUCAAUUCAAUUACAGUAGAAGUUUCAACAAUUGAACUACUUUAGUAAGCAUAAUCCAUACUCUAAGUCAAGUGAAAAACAACAGUUCAAUUUCUCUUGGUUUAAUUUUGAAAAUUUUCCUCAAAAUUCAUGGAGAAUAGAGUAACAAGAGUAAAAAGUAAAAUCUACAACUAAUUAACCAAUAAUUGCAAUACCAAAAAGAUUUAGCAUACUUCCUUCCUCAUACCCCCCAACCGAACUGAGCAUUGUCCUCAAUGUGAUUUGAGUGACUGUAAUAAAAGGGAGGAAGUGGUACCUCCAUGCUGAUAUCAAAUUCGAAUAUUGAUUGGGGAAAACCACAUGUUUCAAAAAGAAUAGAAUAUGUGAGAAAAGGAAAUAAGGAGAAUUUAAUGCUAACUUUUAACAAGAAAUAUUCAACUUGUAUUACUUUGAGUUCAUUUGAUUACGAUGCUAAAGACAAGUAACACAAGGAAUCCCAUAUAUAGUACCAAAAUACUGGGAUUUCUUUUCAACUAAAACAAAACAAACAUGCAUAAAAACAUAAACAGCAAAUAUAUAUAUAAUGUCUGAUGAGUGGGGUGAUGGUGCUAGGCAGAAGGAUCUGCCUCUUCAGUAGGUGGAUCAGCUGGGGUUUCAGGCUCUGGAGCUUGAGACUCUGAAGGCUGAGAGUGUGGCUCUGGUGGAGUAGGAAUGGAGGGCUCUACAGCUUGUGGCAGAUCGAAAUGGACUUGAAGCUGCCUUAGGAUGGCAACUUGUUGAGCCUGAGAGGCUAACAUCUGCUCCUGGCAUGCUUUGAUGGCUGCCAACUCCUGAGCAAGAUUGCUCUGGGAAGCUGUAAGAGUCUCCAAUGCUCGGCACAGCUCUCGAUAUUCGGAUAUAGGGAUGGCCAUCCUAGGCUCAGCAGAUGUGGAUGGCUGUGAUGGAGCAGGUGCAGCUGGUGGAGCUCGAGGGAUGGCAGGAGUAGCAAGUGUUAUACCUUCAGGUGGAUGUCUUGGGGAGGCUCUCCUUGCUGCUGGCUGAGGCUGCCCAGGCUGAUCAAUUUUGUAGGCCGUCAUAUUAUUCCAUUUAUCAAGGGUAAAUGGCUCACGGCAUAUUCUCUUUCUUUCCUGCUGAGGCUCAGAGGGGUAUCCGAGAUGCUCCAAAACUUGGCAUAACAGCCUUGGGAAGAGGAGUGGAAUGCAAUCUGCUCUUUGAAGCUUCUUCUUGUGAACCUUCUCCUCAAAGUAGAGAAGGGCUGCCAUGAUCAGAUGAUGAGGCCCAAAGAAGAAUCCUUCAGACAUCUUGUACAGGGCUUCUAGGAGAAUUCCCCUUCUUUGGGUCCAAUGCUGCAGGGGAUAGAUAUUAUGCCUCAAAAAGGCAUCAAUCAAAAACAUCACUGGAGGUAGCUCCCCCCUCAGCAGGUGUGACCGAUUUGCAGCUCCUCUAGUUAGGGUGCUAACCAUCUCUAACUCAGUAGGAUUUGUCCAAGCUUUAAAAUUGUCGAAUUGAGUUGGCUCAAAAGGAAUUUGCAGGGCUUCAGCAAUAUGUCUUGCUCCCAAAAUACCAUGCCUUCCAUCAAUUAUGAAAUGGAUCAGAGUUGGAUUUCUUACUUCUUUGGUUGUCAUGGUCUGGUAGAAGUCCGUGACUACCCGAGGAUAGAAAAAAUCCCUUGGAGCUAGCAGAUGCUCCAUAUGAUAUCUCCUCAGCAGCUGGAAUGAUUGGGCAAGCUCUGGCCUCACUCUAAAUGCUGCUAAGUCGAAGCAAAGCUCAGAAUGGAAUGCCCGAGUUCGGCAAUCCAAGUUUCCUUCGAUUGGGGCCUGGGGCAGCAUUGGCCUUCGGAUCACUUCUUCCAGAGGUGCUUCAGCUGCAAUUUGGGGCUCUGGAAUUGGCGCUUGAGGCUCCUGAGCUUUUUCUUGGGGUGCCGGAGAUUGUACCGGCGAUGGAAUUGGAGUUGCUUCUGGUGAGGGAAUUGGCGAGGCUACCGGUGACGACACUGGAAUUUGUACCGGUGAAGGAUUUGGAGAUUUCUCAGGGGAUUGCUCAGUCAAAUCGAUUGGUUCAGAGCUCUCAACCCUGGCUUUCUUCUUCAAUGGCUGACCACCUGACCUGGUUAAAUAUCGCCUUGCCGGCGGCUUUGGUAGCGCCGGCUUCACUGGAGGAGGGUUUGGUCUCGACGGCGAAGGCUUUGGAGCAGGUUCUGGAACAGAACCUGGACUUGGCUCCUUUCGCAGACUCCUUUUGCGGUUCGAAGGGGAUGACGACUUUGCCCCUCGCGUUCGUGCCAUUUUGGAAUACCGAAACUUUGGCCGGCGCUGCUGAACGGAGAAGACGACCGGAGACACGGACGGCGCGGCUUGGCGAAGAAGAUGAAGGGGCUGCGAGAAUGGUGCUCUGAUUUUUGAAACCCUUUUCGCAGCACUUUUGGCCGGUAUAAAUAGGAAAAAACGGAAGCCCAGGGGUCAGUUUACGUUUCGCAACAAAACGCCAAUUUCGCAGCAACUUGCCAUUUUCGCAGCAACUUCGCAGUGAGUUUCGCAGUUGCGAAAUUGAUGUCACUGUGUUGCGGAGUGGCACUCGUGUGCCAAAACCACUUUCGCAAUUGUGAAAUGCCCUGCGGAAUGGGACUUUUGGUGCGAAAUCACGCUUUUCCAUUUCGCAAUGAGUUUCGCAGCUGCGAAAUGGGUACUACUGUACUGCGAAGUGGCACUCGUGUGCCAAAUUCACUUUCGCAGCUGCGAAAUACCUUCGCAGAGGCUUCUACAGUGCUGCGGAAUGGGUUGGCAACAAAACGCCAAUUUCGCAGAGGUUUCCUUCACCCUGCGAAAUUUCGCAGAGCUCUGUUUUUCCCCUGUUUUUGCUCUGUUUCGGCUCCAAUUUCGACCCGAUUUUUUUUCUUUUCAAUCCCCUUGAAAUUUCUUCCGCCUGGGAUCAUAUAAAACGAUUAAAACACACCUAAAAACAUGAUUUAAGAUCAAAAACUAAGAUUAAAAGCAUAGAAACAACUUGAAAAUUUACAAAAUUUACAAAAAUUUUGGACUGUGGUUAAACCACGUCCAGCAAACCCAUUUCACUUAGGCUUUUUGAGGCUCAAGGAGGUUGAUUGCCCCCUUUUCUGAUUUGAAUGACUCCAUGAACGGCUUAAGACGAUAUCCAUUGACUCUAAAGCUGUCCUUGCCAUUGGAAUUCAAUAAGUCCACCACUCCAUUGGAAUAUACUCGGUGAAUAACAAAUGGACCAAUCCACAUUGACUUAAGCUUCCCAGGAAAGAUAUGGAGUCUUGUGUCAUACAUCAGAACUUUUUGCCCUUCCUGAUUCAGUUUGCCCGGAUCCCAUUUGAAGCUUGCAUCCUUCACUUGAGACUUGGUUUGAGAUGAAGAUAUUACGACAGGACAUUGAUUAUUUUCUUCAAGGUAUGUGUAUUUCAGCUCCAUAGGUAAAUGCUUCAGAUUGAGUUUUGGAAUUUCUUUUUCAACAGCUGCCUCCUCUUCUUCAUUGAACAGAGGUAGAAUUCCUUCUAUCUUUCUCCAACUGUGUAGAGUAGCAAGCCCAAUAGGAGAUUCAGAAAAACCUUCCUCAAUAUCCUCAAGACUUUCAUUCAACUUAUCUUGCAUAUGUUGAUUGCAGUGCUCCUCCACCAAAGUAUCAAUAAUACAUAGCUCUUCUGGACCCUCUUCUUCUUCUGUAGUGAUUUGCUUUUUAGACAUAUAGAAAAUAUUUAGAUCCAGUGUCAUAUUACCAAAAGUGAGUUGCAUAAGCCCAUUUCUACAGUUGAUGAUUGCAUUUGAAGUAGCAAGAAAUGGCCUUCCAAGGAUGAUAGGAACUAAAUUAGCUUCCUUUACAGUAGGAUCAGUAUCAAGAACAACAAAAUCUACAGGAUAGUAGAAAUUAUCUACUUGAACCAAUACAUCCUCAAUUACUCCUCUUGGAAUUUUCACUGAUCUAUCUGCCAAAGAUAAAGUGAUUGAUGUUGGCUUCAACUCUCCAAGUCCCAGUUGCUUGUAGACAGAGUAUGGAAGCAAAUUCACACUUGCUCCCAAGUCUAGCAAGGCUUUCUCCACUACCUUUCCUCCAAUCAUGACUGAAAUGGUAGGACUUCCAGGGUCUUUGUACUUCAAAGGAGACUUACACUGUAAGAUUGCACUUACUUGCUCAGUCAAGAAGGCUUUCUUGUUUACAGUCAACCCUCUCUUGAUAGUACACAAGUCCUUUAGGAAUUUUGCAUACGUUGGAACUUGUUUGAUCAUAUCCAGCAGUGGAAUAUUAACUUUCACUUGUCUCAAUACUUCUAGGAUUUCAGCUGCAUUUCUAACCCCCUUUUUCCCCUGUAAUGCUUGAGGAAAAGGUGGAAAAGUUGAUUUCUUCAGCAUUUCUUCCUUCAGAAGCUCCUUCUCUGGAAUUACUUUCAUUGUUGCAUCAGAGUCCUUCUUUUCUUCACUGAUCUCACUGCCUUUAUCUUCCAUUUCCUUCCCUUUCUUUAUCUCUUCUUCUUUCUCAACAUGUGGCUUGGGUGUUGGCUGCUCAAUUUUCUUACCACUCCUUAGAGUGAUCAAAGCUUUCACAUCUUUCACCUGUGAUGAUUCUCCCUCAAGGCUUUCCACUUCAUGGACACCUUUGGGAUUUUGGUUAGGUUGAGAAGGAAAUCUUCCCUUUUCUUGCAGUGUAUUCAAAUUUGUAAGCCUUGAAAUUGAAUAUUGGAUGUUAUCAAACUUUUGAUUCAUAUCAUUUUGCAUUCCAUCCAUUCUUUUGUUCAACAUACUCUCCAUUCUGUCCAUUCUUUGAUCCACUCUGUCCAUUCUUUGAUCCACUCGAGCAUUGGUGGCUUCUUGCUUUCCCACAAAAUCUCCCACUACCUUGCUGAGAUUAGCUAUUAUUUGUUCAAUACUUGAAGAUUGCUGAGUUGGUGGAUCCGGCUGUUGGUAUUGAGUUGCUCUGGCCUUCCAUGAGAAAUUUGGAUGAUUCCUCCAACUUGAAUUGUAAGUAUUUCCAUAAGGAGCAUUGUUAUUGGGCCUGAAUUGUCCAACAACAUUUGCUUGAUCUCUAUACAUUUCCCUUUCAACUGAAAUUGCAGGGCAUUCCUCUACCAAAUGUUCAAACGAUUGACAAUUGGGACACAACUUCACUUGCACUGGUGCUUCAGCAACAGCUUGCACUUCAUGCAUUCUUUUCAGCUCCAGCUCCUCCAAUCUUCUUGUCAUAGCUGCCAACUUUGCUUUCAUGUCAUCAUCUUCUUUUAAAUUAUACAUCCCAGCCUUUGCAUUGUAAGCAUUCAACUGAGACUUCAUCNNNNNNNNNNNNNNNNNNNNNNNNNNNNNNNNNNNNNNNNNNNNNNNNNNNNNNNNNNNNNNNNNNNNNNNNNNNNNNNNNNNNNNNNNNNNNNNNNNNNCUCUGGAAUGUAUUACAAACAUCUUCAAAUUCCUUGAUGUGUGCAUACGGAUUCUCACUUUCCAUCCCAUGGAAAGUUGGUAGAAGUGGAACAAGAUAUGGUCUGAUCACUAGCUGCUCUGUAGGGGGCACUAUACAUGAUGGUGCACUCAUACGAGGUGGAUGCAUACGGUCCCUCAUUGAUCUGAAUUCAUUGAGAUUGUCUUGACGACCUUGGUGACUAUGCUGAUCUUCAGGUGCAGCCUCCAUGAUAUUCAAGAUUACUUCCAAUUCUCCUCUCUGAGGUGUAUCACACUUAACAAGCCUACCUCCAAUGUCUCGUAUCCACUUGGGCAUACACAACUAGUAUUCAGCUGCAACUAAAAAAAUGAAAACAGAGGACACAAAAACAGAGGACUACAAUAGCAAAAUUAAACUAGACUAAAAUUUAAAAAGAUAAACUUAGAUUAUAAAUAAACAAAGAAAGAAUGAAAAUUAAUAAAGUGAAAGAAACUUUACCAACUUGUGAUGAAAAUCACAAGUGCUCAAAAAUGGUAUCACAAUGAACUUGACACUCAUUCCCCGGCAACGGCGCCAUUUGACUCAUGCUCAAUUGGUGUCUCAGCUGAUUUGUGUUCAGCUGGUGCUCCUUGAUUGAGGAAGUGAUCAACAAAAUUUAUACCUAUAACACCAUACACUAGGGUAGCAAAUACAAAGCUACUAUAGUAUAGUGGCUCUAAGGAUCGUUCACUGGGAAUGAAUAAAUUAACAAGCAGUCAAGGAUACCAAUUCCAAGUGAAUUGGUUUUGUUUCAUUUCACGGUUAGUUUAAGAAAUAAAACACAAAGUUUGAUUGGUAAAGGUUUAGACUUAAACUACCUAACUUAACAGAAGUUUGGAAUAAUUUAGGAAGAAAAACAUUCCUUGGAGAUUUAGGUUCACUGGGGUGGUUCCUCAUGCAAAAGACAUAGCUCCGGUCAGAUGGUUCAUUUCCUCGCAUUAGAGAUUCAACUUAUAGUCAAUUCUCUAACCGGUGAUGUACAGAGACUCCUUCAAUUAGAUUUCACUUUAAUUCUCUCACUGAUACAACUUGCAAUGGUUCAUGCCUCUCACGAGCACUUACCAUUCAAGGUGAUCUUUAACCUUGGACUUCCCUUCACAAACUCGCAAGAGAUAACUAAUGGAUGUCUCCUAGGAGUCCAAAAGCUUACCAAGUGUUGGUAAUUCCAGAAAAUCCUACCUUGAAGUCACCUACCAGAGGCUCGCAAGGGGUAAACUAGUGCAUUUCCAUGGUUGGAAAUCACUUGCCUUACCAAGUGUUGGCCCAGGUGACUCUAAGGUGUUUUAAGUUAACUAAAAACAUUGAAAUCACUAAAGGAUUUCACUUCCUCUUCAUUAAAAACUAAAACCACAAAGCUUUGCAUUUUUGCACUUGGAACCUUCCCCGGCACCCUUAGCUCCAAGGAAUUGGAGGUUUAGUUACUCAUUCUCUGGGGAAAACUCCUCAGAGAAUUCAUAACUUAGAAAUAAAAUGAAAAUACAAAGUGAGAAGGUAAGGCAGUAGAAAGAAAAGACUUUACUUGCUUACCAAAUGGUUUUCAGAAGGAACUCCUCUCUGAGAACAUGCUCCCGAGAGGUAUUUAUAUCAAAGCAAUAUAAAACUAAUUAUUACAUAGAUAUUUGGUCUUUUUACUAACUUAAAAACUAAGGAAUCAUGUAAUUGGUGGUUUACAAGGAGUAUUUUGGAAUUUAGACAACAAAAAUCUAAUGGAAAAUAUCUCCCAAUGUCGGUAGCAAGCUUCGGGAGGCUUCCGGAGCCAUUUCGCAGGAGAAAAGUGAGGUCUGCGAAAUUUCGCAGACACCCAAGAGGGCUGCGAAAUUAUUUCGCAAGACCGAGCUAUCUUCACCAGGCUGCAAAGUUGGCUUCCAUCUUGAAGUUUCCAGCUCCCUUCUCGCGGCAUGGUUCGUGCAUCGUCAGAAGGAGAAACACCUUACUGUACAAAAGUGUUGCGAAAUUCUCGCAACAAAAGGCUGAUUCCGCAACACUUUAGAGUGACUGGCUUGUAAUGGCUGCAACUUCUUCGUUUCAACUCCGAAUCAUGCACCGUUUGAAGCAUUGGAUUGUUGACUUCCUGAGCUUUGAAAUGGUAUAUAGCUUGCAUCAUUUGGACUUCAGAAAGUGCUCCAAAAGUGGCUGCUACGACUGUCAUCAAGAAUAUGCUCCAUGACUGAUCCUCUUUGCUUUUUCUCCUUGCAAUCCGGAUUCACUCUUGGCAAUUGAAUUCUAAGCUUUGCCCAAGAUUCCUCAUAGCUCUCCUCAUUCUUGACUUGCUUUGGUGAUCAAAAUACUAACAAGAACACCAAAACUUACACAAAGUGAUCAAAAUUGCUUUAAAGGAUCCUUAACAUGUCAAUUGAGUUAAAAGGCCUAAACUACUACUCAAAAGUGUUAAAAAGGAUUAAUUAAAGGCUAUCAAAUAGCACUUUUUGAGUAGUAAUCAUAUGCCAAGCCCUCCCUUGGCCUGCACUCCUUAUAACAUGCCUCACCAACUUGUUGUAGCAUCUCUAGGCAACCUACUGCAUGUUGUCUAUGCAACCCAUGUGUGUGUCAAGCCCUCUCUUAAUUAGCCUACACCCCUUAGAACAUGUCUUACCAUCCUGAUGUAGUGUCCUUAAGCAACCUAGUGCAUGCUCUCUAUGCAGCCUUUGAGUGUGUCAAGCUCACUCGUGGCCUACACACCUCACAACAUGCCCUAUCAACUUACUAUGUGCAUUUCUAGGCCCUUGUUACUCCUUGAGCAUGCCAACCAGUCAUACUCAUGUGUUCCAAUCACAUCUCUGCCAAGGCAAGCUACUCAUGCAUCCCUCUUAUUGUUGAUAUGACUCCAUGUUUUGCCCAAACCCUCUUCUUAGUGCAACAACAAGUCAUAACAUUGCACCCAUGACUUUUCAUCUUUGCACAUAAGGCAUUGUGCCAAGCAUUAAAUGUCAUGUUUAAGUCAGCAUCAUUGAUGCCACAUCGCCAUGCCUCACCCAAGUUCAUUUUGGUGUUACAACAAACCAUGACAUUAUGUACAUGGCUCAUCAAGCUACCUCAUUGCGCAAGGCAUUACAUCCUUAUGCUACCAUUAGAAAUGAAGACUAUGUCGCACCUCGUGUCAUUGUGGCCAUGGGUUACACACCACCAUGUGUCAUGAAGCCCAUGCAUGGGUGCUACAAGACUUAUCCCAUGUGUCUUGCUCAUGUAAGCACCUAGGUGUGCCCAUGUCACCUUGUCUUUCUUGAGUUAGGUUCUUCUUCAAAGAAAAAAUACCGACAUGCCAAAAUUCAACCCUUGAAUUUUGGCCAAGUUAGGCUCAUGUCGCUUGUUUCCCUCAAUAGGCUUCAUCUUACCUUACCUUGAUCAUAGGCCACUCAUAGAGCCAAGGUGUCGUCCUAUGAGGCCUUUGUGUCGCAUACUUUGAGUCAAAGGGCUAACAAUAGACCACUAAAAGAUUUGAAAUUUUCAACAUAAACUUAAUGAGCUACCACACAUUGUAACUAUGCCUUGUGUUUCUUUUAAACUAACAUUUAGCAUAUCAUGGUCUUGAUACAAAAAUCCCUCGUCAUUAAGUUAAGAGUUGGUAACAAUGAGGUUCAACAAGGCCUAAUUGAUCUUGUUAGUUUAAUUGACCUGUUUUAGAAGUCAGCAUAAUGUCACAAAAUGCUUCAAAUGAUCCUCCCCAUGGGCUUAUAUAUCGGAGCAGGAAGUUUUUAAGACCCCUGGAGACAUCCACACUUAACUACAAGGUGGAAGAGUGUGGAAGCUUCUAGAGAAGGUUAGAGAUGUCCACACAUCUCCACACUUGGGUAGGAGACCAUUGGAAUAAUACGGGGUGUUCUAAAGUCUUCCAAAGUCAUCUUGUACAUAAAUUAAUGUAGGAGCUUCUAGAUUAUUCUUGAUUUGUAAGGAACUCAACAAGGUUCUAAAGACUUCCUAAGGUGCCUAUAAAUAGGUGAGACCCUCAUUUGGCCAAGGCACCAAGUAAACGAGUUUCCUAAGCACUUAUAAAGCAUCCUUAAGAGCAAUAAAAGCUUCCAUUUUUUUAAGUGUUUUCUACUAUACCUUCUAAAGCUUCCAAGUCGUGUAGAUCUUAACCUAACAAGUUAAGCGUCGGGAGUAAGAUUGACUUAAUAAGAUCAAGUGUCUUGGCUUGUCUUAGUAUCACACGAGCUUAGGGAAAUACUGGGUCCAUAACAAUAAUUACAUGUGAAUAUCAUAGAGGGAAAGGUAACAAUACCCAAUCUAUACCCAUUGGUAGGCUUCAAUGGGAUACCCUGCAAACCAUUAGGUGAAGUCACAUUUCUCGUAAAAUGAGGACCCGUUAUCUUGCACACACGAUUUUCGAUCAUGAAAACAUCAUAAUAGGAAGGUGUUAGAAAAAUUAGGCUAUUAAUCAAAUCUAUGGUAAUCGCCUUAAAGAGAGGGGGGGAGGGGGGUGAAUAAGAUGAUGGUCUCUUUUUGUAAAUUUAAAUUAUGUGAAUGCAAAAGAUAAUUAUAUGCAAAUAUAUAAUAAAACAAUAUAAAAAUAAUUGCAUAUAAAUUAAAAUAAUAGGGAAGAGAGAAUACAAACACAAGAUUUUUAUAGUGGUUUGGCGCAACUCGGCCUAUGUCCACUCUCCUCUAACUUCAAUCCCAAGCUUAAGGCUCCAAUAUUUCAAGGCUUCCAAACCAAACCUUCAAACAAUACAAUUGGAUUAUGGUUCUAGUCCACCAUCUUGGACUUUUGACUUCAAGCACCCUUUACAAUCCUCAAGAGAUACCCACUCUUGAACAACCUCUCAAAAGAUACCCCACACUUGAGAAUUCUAAAUUGAUACCUCACACUUAGAUUCUUCCUCUCAAAGAUAUACAAAUAAUUUCACAAAAUCCUACUACAAAACUUUAGGCUCAAAUGAUGUAAAAAAACUAGGAUUGAAUGAUGCACUAAAGAUAUGCAAGUUUUAGAACAAUUGUGCACUAAAAAACACUCUCCCAAGACUCAAAUAUAUUCAAGAAAGAUUUAGGAAGGUUAAGCUCAUGAAACAAUAAAGAUUGGAGUUUUUUUAUAGAAGAAAACAACCAAACUAGCCGUUGGGGGUUUGACCGAUCGAGUUGGGGGUUGACCGAUUGACUAGCCGUUAGCAUUUAAUGUUUGGCAGGUGACUGUUGGACCUCAACCGCCUCUUGACUGGACCUCAAUCGGUUGAGGCUCAACCUCAAUCGAUUCAGGUUCAACGUUGAUCGAUUGAGGUUUAACUUUGACCAAUUGAACAAUUGUUCUAGAAGAGAGAGAAGGUUUUUUGUACCUCUCGACCAAUUCAGCUGGGGGUCGACCUAUUCCUAGACCGGUUGAGUUAGGGGUCGACCUAUUCCUCGACUGGUUGAGUUAGAGGUCGACUUAUUCCUUGACCGGUUCAAUCGGUUGAGCCAUUUUUGGCUCAACAACCAUUCUCUUCAACUUAAAACCUUUUAAACAAGUUUGGAAAACAUUUGACACAAGGUUUUAGUUGAAAACAUGAAAUCAUCCAAUUUUAAAGGAUUUAAAACGAAAUAACUCUUGGAUGAUUUUGGUGCAUAAGUAAAGAAUGUAAUGCAUGAAAAAAACCUAAUGCACCAACAACCUUACAAAGAGAUCUUAUGAAGCUUGGGUCUUAAAAAGAACUUCUCUUUGAAGUCUUCUGACUGAACUUCUCUAUUGUACCAAAAUACUUAGUCUUUUUAUGUAGUAAUUUUGGUCAAGAAAAACUAGAAAAAGAGUCACUACGAAUUUUGUAGUAUUCCGGGUAUCGUUCUCAAUGACUGGCUUAUGGAAAUUGUCAACACUAGAAUAAUUGAAUUGCUUUCUUUUAAAUCUUAAAGUGAAAAACAAUAUGAGAAUAAUGUGAAACUAAGUAAAAGAAAUUAAAUUAAUAACAAAAUGGAUAUUGAUUUUAAAUUCGAUUGAUUUAAGUUUGGGGUUUUCCACAAUCCAACCUAGGGUAUAGAAAUUAGAGAAAACAAGGGUCUUUUAAGUAAUAUGAUCUUAGGGUUUUGGGAUCCUUAGCUGCUCGCGAUCAAAUUGAGUUCUAUAACUCAAAAUUGCAUUCGAAACCUAAUUUUUCAUUUUUAAAACAGAUUUCUACAACCAUCAAAUGAAUGAAAUUGAUUACCAAUUUAAGAUUUGACUUUUUAACCCUUCCUAGUCCUUAUAGUUUUGUUUUGGGGCAAAUAACGAUAGGGAAGAUGAGGAUAACUAAUGAUCAAGAAUUACCAAGAAUCACUAGUAUCAGGUAAUAACCUACCGUAUCAUUCCCUAAACGAACUCACAAGUAUAGGAUUAAAAAAAAUGAUAAAUUGUCACCCAACCAAUAAUUAAUCUCAUUGUUAUAAUAAUUAACCCAUUGUCCCUAUAAGUUUUCUACCCCUUAGGUUUUCAUACUUUAAGCCCGAAGUUGGUUCUUAGCCUCUCAUGGGGGUGAUGUCACAUUCACAAUCCAUAAUAGGGUAAAAAUCCAUAAUUGAAUCAAAAGAACUUAAACAAUAUUUUUAAUAAAGAAUAAAAAGAAAACAAACAAAAGUUUUCAUCUUCUUUCAUCUUCAAUGUCAAACUCUCCGGAAAAAAAAUUCAAGAUCCCUAAAACUUAGAAUUAAGAAAGUUUAUAUAAUAUCAUCAAUUACCUAACAUGUGACACACUCUCAUUGACCACUUAUUACAAAAUAAUUUCCUAAAAAUGAUUAAAAAAAUAAUAAAAUUGUGAUUUCUAGCCGUGUAGGGUCCACUUAGGGCAGAUGGAGUACCCUAUAUGCAAUUCCCGAGGUAGAGGAGGCGAAACAUCAAAGUGGUAGUGGGUGAAUUCGAAAUUGGUAUCAUUUCGAAGUGAAUUUCGAAUUUACAAGUUGGAUUUCGAAUUCAUAAGUUGGAUUUCGAAAUCAUUUCGAAAUGACCCUUCAGCUUGGUGCAGUUAUCUUCCAAUGGUCAUAACUUCUUCAUUUCAGCUCCAAUUUGCACAUCAUUUGAAGCGUUGAACUUUUGACUUCCCGAGAUUCAAAAUGAUAUAUAGUAUAUAUAAAAUAGACUCUGGUAAGUACUCUAAAUUUAUCCUCAAAUUCAAAGUGUAUAUUACUACCAGAUUUUUGAGUUCUAAAUUUCCAUGUUGCCAUGUUUUCUUGCUUUCUUUCUUACUUCAUAAUGGUCAUUUCUCAUCUUUUAAACUCAUGAUAUCCUCAUCUUGCCUUUCCUUAUGGUCCAUGAGUCUUGACUCACUUAUUUCCUCAUUUACCCCUUUCUUAAUCUUUCAAAAUCUAAAGUGAUUCAACUUGCACCAUUUUCUUCCCUUGAACCUGAGAUAAGUUUUCAAAGUACAAAUUAAACUCAUAGCUAGGGUCUUAGCAUUGAUUUAGGUCAAAUUAUGUGAUUUGAAUGUCCUUUGGUGCACAAAUCAUAUCGAAUAUGUGUCAUUAGAGCAUAUAUUUUGGCUCUAAUCAUCUUUUUUUUCUUAUUGAUUUCUCUUUGGCUUAAUUUUGUCUUUAUGAUUGCCACUUUGGAAAUCUUUUUGCCUAAUCACACUUGAAAUAUAAUAUUAGUUACAAACCUUGUUUUGUUAUCAUCAAAACUGAAAUUAACCAAACCUUGGUUUCACAGAAAGCUUCAUAGCAUGUAGACCACCUUGUCAACCUAUAAUCAAGCCAUUAAUUUCCCUACAUACACCGUAAAGGAUAUAGGAAAUAUACGACAACCAAGCCACAAUGCAUAUGUAUUGUCAUAUCACCACUAAUAAUUCUAAAGGCUCUAAGAGUUAAGAAACUUAGGAAGUUACCAGUUGUGGAACCCCUAGAGUCUUUAGCACUAAUGGGAGAAAGGUGCAAGAAAAGUAGUUAUGAUUUGUUCCCUCUUAUCGUGCCAUGAGAAAACACAAAUGUGGCACUUGCUCAAGGAGUUCAAUGAUGUGUCACUUGAGGCCCCUUAUGAUAUGCUAGGGAUAGAUUAUGAGUUGCCUGUCAUCACUUGAAUGUAUUACGACUAGAUGAUUAAUUAUGUAAAAACCACUAAAAUUCACAUGUGAGAGACAUCAAGUAGUUAACAAAUAAGUGUUAGGGCUCUUACAAGCUAGUUUUAUACACGAGGUAUUAUAUUCAAAGUGGUUGGUGAACAUGGUAGUAGUGCCCAAAAAGAAUGAAAAAUGGUGAGUAUGUGUGUACUACACUAACCUAAAGACUGCUUGCCAAAGGACAGUUGCCCUCUCUCAUGCAUAUAUCAAUAGUAGUGCACCAAUUAUUGACAUUCAUCAAUACUUAUUUGGGAUAUAAUCAGAUUUGGAUGGACACAAGUGAUAAAGAGAAAACUGCUUUCAUAACAACAAAAGACGCAUUUUGUUUUAAAGUUAUGUCAUUUGGCAUAAGGAAUGCAAAUGCCACCUAUUGGACGAUGGUUAAACAACUCUGUUGGCAAUAGUUAGGUUAGACUAUGAAAGUAUACAUAGACAAAUAAUCAAAAGCAAUAACAUUAGAGACCACUUCUAAUACCUGGUAAUGUCCUAUAUUUUACAAGAGUAGUAAAUGAAGCUCAACCCGGCUAAAUGCACCUUCAAGGUAGGGUCCAAAAUGUUUUGAGGGUAUAAAAGUAAAGCCGAACUAACCAAAUAAGAAUUGUCCUUGAGAUGUCGAUGCCCCACAUCAUAGGGGCGCCACAAGGCUCACUAGGAAGCUCGUGGCAUUAAGCAUAUUCAUAGUAAGGACAAUCGAUUAAUGGAAACCCUUUUUAAGGUAAGGAUAGGGGGCAUAUGAAAAAGCAUAUGAACAACCAAAGAAAUGCGUCAUCCAUCCAUCGAUUCUAGCUAAACCCAAGUGAGGUCGUAUUGCUAUACCUAGAGGAUUGCUCAAUUCUGAACAGUAGAAAAGGGAGGAAUGUGGAGGGGCUUUCCCGUUCAACAGCAACAUGUGGGCCUGUUCAACAGCACCAACUGGCCUGAGGAGACCAUUCGAACCCCCUCGCCAUCAUAAGCAAAUAAAUCAGAACUUGAUCACAGCAACCGACGGUCAGUUGCACUAAUUAUGAAUUUAAUGUGCAUUAAUUGCAUACAAUGUGGCACCGUAAUCUUGCCCUUUCCAUUGACCAUACCGUCAUGUGGGAAAUCCAACUGCUCUCAUGGUCAGUACGUAAUAACCUUCUACUGACUUGAACAUUGAAGCCCUCGCUGAACAGCAAGGGGAACGAUACUAACAAUUUUACAUAUGAUAUAUAAAAUAUAUGUGCAUAGUGUGGCAUUUGCAAUCAAUGCACUUUGAGAUGGCCCAACUUUAGUUUAUAGAAGCCACAUUAACUUUUACUUUAAUUUGGGACAUACCGUCCUAUAAUCAGUCAUUGAGGGAGAAAAAUUGUGACCAAGCAACAGGAUUACUCCUCCAGAAGCAUCCUCCAUCGUGAGUUUCCUAAACGUUAUAUAUCUCAAGCUGCAAUCCAAUAUUUGGAUGGCCUCAAAUAAAAGCAAAUCAAGGCAUGCAAAGAUUGGGACUUGCCCGAUUGGAUAUGGCCAUCAACCUUGUUUGAUUUAAUUAGCAAAUCAUUAGUUACUCAAACUAUAAAUUAGAUGGAGCCCUCAAUUUUGAGGUGUAUUUCAAUCAAGAAAUUUUAGAAUAUUAAUAGAGACAGAUCUUAGUGUUAGAGAGAAUUCUUGCCCAAUCACUAUGGGGUUUAAUGAGUUGAAUAAAUUAGGAUAUCUAUGAGUAGACAGCAUGUCCCCAGAAGCCUUAGUGCCCAAGUUAAAGACAAGAAACAACUAGGAAUAUACCUAAGAGAAGCUCACCUUUUAAAAGGGCCCUUUGUUCCAUUAAGGGGUAAAGAAUUAAUACUCUUAUAUACUAAUUCUCUCCACUAAACUCAUGAACAAGACCCCUGAAAUUUUGUUCUUUACUUUUACAAAAUCUUCUAAAUUACUUUGAAUUAUGUAGAUGAUUAAUUAUAUGCAAUAUUUUAAAACAACAUUAUUUUAAUAAUUCUUUUAGAAAGUAUAAUUAAGCCAUUACGUGUUUGUAGGGGCAUGUGGCUAGGAUUUGGCCACCUUUAUAUUGUUAAUAUUUUUGAGAGAAUAUGUUUGGGCUUUUCCUUAUAAAUUAAGAGUUUUUAGUAUGAAUUAGACACUAAAAUACAAGCCUUAUGAACUUUUAAUGCAAAGAGCAUCACAAAUGAUUCCUCGUCCUACAUAAAAUAGGUUGAAAAUAAGAACCAAUACUCAUCCCCUUAACAUACCCUAUAGAUUUUAAUUUGUUUCAUAAAUUUAAAAAAAUAUAGAUCUAAUUUUCAUCUUCUAAUUUAUGAAAGGUCAAAUAUACUUAAUUUCAUUGACAAAACAAUUUUAAGUCAAAUAUAUCUAUUUAUGUUAAUCAAUAAAUGAUAGAAAUGAAAUAUUCAUGAAUAUUUAAAAAAUGAUAUAUACAUAUAUAUAGACAGAUAGAUAGUUCAUUUCUAAUAUAAAUAUAUUUUGAUUUAACUUAUAGCGUUAGAAAAUCACCUACAGCAUUUUCUAAAGAGAUGGUUUUCAUUUUGAGUAGAAAUAUGUUUUUCUUAAUUAAUAAUUAAACCAUGAGUAAGAUUUAAGAGUUUGGAAGCGAGAAGACAUGGUAGCCAUUCUGAUAAAAAGAAAAGGGCCAAUUAGAGAAUUAAAAGGGGAGAGGUGUAAUGAAAGCAAUUAAAAUUCAAAGCGGCCAACUUUUUCUAGAGUCUUGCUUUGCUUUGUGUAAGAGAGGGUCGUUAGGAGGAAACUCAAUUGUGAGCAACAAGAAAAAAAUGCCAUAUUCUAAAGAAGCUCUUGCUAGGCUGUUCUACAAUGUCUCCAGUUCUUUACAGCUUCUCUUCCUCUUCUUCUUCUUCUCCUCCAUUUUGCUUGCAAAGCUCCUCCACUUCCUCUGCAACCACCCAAUAUUCCAAAGGUCUACACCAUCUCUCUCUUGGUCUUUCUCUUGAUUAAUUUGCCAUAUAGACACAUAAAGAUGAUACUGUGUUUUAACUUUUCUUUUGUUCUUUCGCAGGACCCAACAUGGAUCUGCAGUUGGAUUGUUUUUGGACGACGAAGAAGAGGAGGACAUAUAUUUUCAUGAGGAGGAGUGCAUGGAGAAAGAUGAUCACCUGGUGGCCGACAUAGUUGAUGGUGGAGAAUCACUUCUGUUUUUGCCUGUCAACCGUCCUGUGAAGGAUCAAGAUCUUGAGCAUCAUGAAGAAACCAUAAGCAGUAGUACUACUCCUCGUGGCGAUUACAACUACUUCUUCCACCAAGAAGAGUCAAGUGAUGAUCAUAACUCACUGGUUCAAGAAUCAGAAGUACAUGAUGACAAGGAAGAUGAGGCUGAAGAAGAGAUCCCAACAUCAGAUACUGAUGCUGAUGCGGUAUACAAUUUUGGCCCCAAUGAAGGUGACCCCACCUCGCCGAUAACCAUCAAUCUAACCAAAAGUGGCUUGGUGGCCGAUGACGAAACCCAUGACGGUAUUUGCAUUAUAUUUGGCAUCCUUAGCCUUAUACCAUUAGUUAUAGUGCUUUAAUUUUAGUACUGGCACUCCACCUGAAGUUGCUUAUUCCUUUGUAGAGAAACGCGACGAGGAAGAUUCCAAAGGUGGUAAGGAUAAAAUUGAAGAUGGGAAGGUGGAAGAGACUACAAAUUUCACUAAAGAUGAAAAGUUCUUAAUUUUUGCGCCCCCUCAAUCGGAGGCUAAGAAGUUUCAUGUCCAAGAAAAGGAUAAUGAAGAGACUUGUGGCGACUCGUAUACCGUUGGAUCUACUUCUAAGAGCUCGUCUGAAUGGAGAAGUUCCAUUAAUUUCAGGGAUUCAGGGACAGAAGAUCCAUUUUCGUCCUCUUCCCGGAGGAGUUGCCCCAAGUGGGAAUCUUACACUGUGUUUCAGAAGUAUGAUGAAGAGAUGACAUUCUUAGAUAGGAUCAGCGCCCAAAAGCUUCAGGAAACAGGUAAUUUUCACUUUACAUAUUUAUUUAUUUUACAUUAUGAUCGUACCAUUUUAUAAAACAACUUAGAAUCUAUUUGGUAGUGAUUUUAAGAAGCACUUUUAAAGUUUUUAAUACUUAAAAAUUUUCAUCAUUCAAAAUGUUAAAAAUGUUAUAAACGCUUUCUAAAAUUACUUCCAAAUCCACUCUUAAUUUACAUAGCUACAUACAGAGUCUCUUAGGUCAAUCCAAGUCUGUCCAAAGUCAAUCUCAGGGAGGAUUGCUCAUAAAUUGGGAACAAUCAACAAGAGAUCAUCAGAUACCCAUCAGAACCCGUAUCAUGAACUAGAAGCUGCUUAUGUAGCACAAAUUUGCUUAACAUGGGAAGCUCUUAAUUGGAACUACAAGAACUUUCAGCGCCUGAGAGCUUCGCGUCGUGAAUGUGACCCCGGCAGUCCUGCUCAUAUUGCCCAGCAGUUUCAGCAAUUCCAAGUGCUUUUACAGCGGUACAUUGAGAAUGAGCCCUAUGAGCAUGGCAAGAGACCUGAGAUUUAUGCUAGGAUGAGAAUUUUGGCACCAAAGCUGCUCCAAGUGCCAGAAUAUCGAGGUACUCAUAAGACAAAGUGCUUUUAGUUUCUCGAGAUAACUUCAAUUUUCUUUUUGUUAACAAUAUAUCUGUAUAUUAAUUGGUUUUUAAAGAUUCUGAAGAUGAUCAAAAGGAUGAAAGUCUGAAGUCAAGAAUUUCGUCAGAUUCAUUUCUUAUUAUAUUAGAAGAGGGAAUAAGAACAUUCAUGAAUUUUCUCAAGGGGGAUAGGGAGAAACCUUGCCAGAUCAUAGCAGCUUUGUUCAAGAGGAACCGAAAAGGUUUGGUUGAUCCAACUCUUCUACAUCUGAUGAAGAAAGCAAAUCAGAAGGUACAAAUUAAUGGUAUUUGCUUUUGAGCCAUUCAAAAUAUCUACAUUAUUUUCUAAACUUACAGUUCGGUGUUAAAAUUCAAUCUGCAGAAGAAGUUAAGGCUCAAAGAUCUCCGCAGAACUGGCAAGUGCUUAAGGAAAAGAAGGUUAAAGGAGGAGGAAGAAAUGGAGAUUCUGAUGGGACUGAUAGACAUAAAAGUGGUGUCUAGGGUUUUGAGAAUGAGUGACAUAACAGAAGAGCAAUUACACUGGUGUGAAGAAAAGAUGAGCAAAGUGAGAGUUUUGGAAGGGAAGCUGCAAAGAGAUUCCUCACCACUUUUCUUCCCUGCACACUGACCCCACCAUAGAUUGGGUAUUUGUUGCUUGAUGACUAGACCAUGAAUGUGCGGUGACUGCAUGCAGAUGAAUAUCCUAAGGCAGACACACCCUUUUGUAAAUACUGUAAAGAAAAAUGAGAGGAAGGGGACCCACAAAUCAAAGCCAUGACAUGUGGGUGACAUAGAUUUUGAAGAUAUGGAAUCCAUGAAAGAAAAGAUGGGUUGGCUCUCUGAUUUCAUGAACAUUGAAAGUGAAAAGAGCUGGGACAAAGCAAGGAACACGAAGAUAGAGACGAGGUAGCUUUAGUUUGCUUUAUCUUUUGAAUUAGGGUUUAUCUAUAAGGGUUUUGAGCUGAAUCAAAAGAGAGAGAUUUGGGCAAAGCUGCUGCUACACAUGCAGUGGAAUAAAAAGGUGGCACAUGGUACACUCAAAGGGUGGGAGCCCGAGCUUCAUUUGGUACCACUUUCUUUGGGGAAAAGAUGAAUAAAUAAAUAAUCAACCAUGUAAGGUGUAUUCAGACUUCAGAGAGUUGCGUCCCUCUCAUGAUUUCUAUAAAAAGUUAAUCUUGUAGUUGGGUUAUCAUGACCUUCAUUGACUUCCAUCAUCAUUAAUAAUCUUUGGAAGAUAGUCUAUGAUUUAUUUCAUGAGCACUCUCUGCAACAUUCCAUUUAUUUGAUUUAUAUAUAACUCAUACAAUAAAAAGAUCAAUGUUAUACUAAUAUGUACUCAAUAUUGACACCUUCUAUUAAAUAAGAUUACUAUUUCAUAUCUUAGGUAAUAUGUCUACAUUCAUACAUCAAACUUAUUUGGACUUUAGUCAUAACCAAAGUUAAUUAGCUCAAUGAACCAUUUUCAGCCAUUACCAAAUUAUUUCCUAUGGUCAUGUCUGGACGUUGGAAUGGAGAUUUUAGAAUGGAAAUAGGAAUCAAAAAUUCAUUAGUGUGGAAAUUAAAUUCCACUCUCAUUAAUUAGGAUUUUGAUUCUUUUUUUUCAUAUGGUGUAUGUAUUAAGAUUCACCUUAGAGAUGACAACGAGACCGUUUGAGACUCUCACCCCUAUCCCAACCUCAUUCUGUUUAUUUAUACAUAUUUCCAACUUCUCAAAAUAUAUAUAUACAUAUUUAAAUGACAGGAUUUAUAUAGAAAAUUCUCAUACCCAUUUUGCCUACCCCAUUUAAUUUUUUAAAAUUUUUUGUUUGUAAAAUUUAAAUUUUAUUAAAAAUAAAUAUAAAUUAUAAAUAAAGAAAUAUUAUAAACAAUUAUAAUUUAUUUUUAUGAAAGUAAUAUUUUAUUUAUGUUAAAAAGUUGCAAGAGAAAUCAACAAAAAUAAUUUUUUAUUUAAAAUUAUGUGUAAUCAGGAUGGAGCGAGACAAAAUCAUACCCAAACCAUCACGAGUUUUUAAAAAGUUUUCAAACUCAAUCUCAAUUGGUUUAUCUUUAUCUCAGACCCUUCCCAUUAGGGGCGGGGAAGUACCUAAAAAAGGGCCCAUUGCCAUCCCUAAUUCGCCUCCAUUCUCAUCCUAUUUCCAUUUAUAUUCACACAUAUUAAAAGCACACUAAAUUCUAUACCAUUUUUUUAUUAUUAGAAGGAUUUAUCAUAGGCUUUUCCAGGUAAUAGAAAUUGUGAGUCAGUUCAAAGGAAUGCAUCCCUUGAUUCCCAAGCUACUAAGUAAUAGGAUUCAGAAAUUCAUGUCAUUGGAUUUCACUAGGAAACUUCGACUAAUUUUCUGUUCUAUUAUUUAAAUGCUAAAGAGAUAAGUUUUGAGACAUGACUCGGGUGGCAAGACGUAGACUAGAAGUGAGGAAAUUUCAAAUAAGAUCUAAUAAAAAAAAAAGUCUCAUGGUUGGGCCUCUGCGUCAUCAAAAACAGAAAAUCCCACCUAAUUUCAACUACUAGACAUUUCAAAAUUAAUUUCAAUCAUUAAAUAAGUAAAAAAAAAAAAAAAAACUUAUCAUAGAUUAACAAAAAAGAAUUGUAUUCAUGUUCUGCAUUCCUCCUAUUAUAGCAGAGCCCAUAUCAAUUGGGCUUUGAUUUUGUUUUGGGCCUAAAAGGGAGCCCAGUUUUAAAUCAACCCAGUCAAAGGGAGACUUAUGUAUGAAAUUUGGAAAUUGGAUUAUGAAAUUACGUAACAUAAUUUUUAUGAAUUGGAUCAAUUGAAUGAAUGUGAGUAAAGGGAUCCAUGGAUGAAGAUAGAAAAGUAGAUUUCUACUCGUAACUAAAUCUUCAAUUUUAAGUUUAUUUGUAUUUUGUAAAGGGGCGAUUGAAGCAAACUAGCUAAUAAAGGAUGUCUUUAGUUUACUAGAGACAUCGAAAUAUUGUUUUACCUUUAUGGAAACAAUAUGUUUUUCCUCAAGAUUCUCUCAAAUUGAAAUAGAGAACAAAGCAACCAGAAAGAUUCUUAUAAUCAUCCUGUUCUAGAGGGAUCAUCUAGAAAACCAAUCGUUUCGAAUAUAUUCAAGCAGAAAAAAUGACAUAGAUGUUAUGAAUCGAUUUUUUUUUUUUUCAUUUCAUUGAUGUCUUAAAUCUGGAAAUUUAUCCAUCCUCCAUAAAGGAGCCGAAUGAAACCAAAGUUUUAUAGAUGGGUCUAUGCGGUUAACUGAGGAAGGAACCUUUGAGUGCACGUGACAGAGUUUGUUUGGUGAUGGGCAAAUUAUACAAUUGAUUACGACAUUUGACAUUUGGGGUUUCCCGAAAUGGAUGCUAUCCAAUUGCACAAAUUGGAUAAUACACGGCUGAUGGGCGUUGCCGUUCCGCUCCACUCUUUCUUCUCCAUUCAAAGCCUAUCCAUAUGAUAAUUCAAUACAGGAACCGACCAACAACCCAAGCAUCAUGUCGGUAUCUUUGCUUCCAAGCAAAAUAAUUAUCAUCAGACAUAGCUUUACUUAAAUUUUUUAACCAAAAAAAAAAAAAAAAUUAUUGUAUGGUAGUUAAAAAAGGUUAACUUCUUUGGAUGAGCCAACAUUUAUAUCAUCUCUCACCAACUUUAAGUGAGCCAAGAGGCCCUUUUCCCAUGUGAGCUAUUAAUGAAAGGAAAAUGCUAUGGUACCACAAUGGUACCUCUCAUAGUGAUACCUAAGAAAUUAGGAAUUCCUUGUAUAUGAUAAGAUCAAAUAAUGAAAGGACGGAUGAAUAAAACUUUUUAUAAAGAUAUAAACAAAAAAAACCAAAGAUGUUUAUUAAAAUCAAGCCUCCACCUCGGGCGAAACCAUCCAACCUGAUGACUCAGAUAAGAAGAAAUAAAACAUGUCCGACAAAAAGUUAAACAUCACAAACCUAGAAUAAAGAGAAAACCUAUAAAAAGUAAAAAUCAUCUUCUUAGUACCCUUAAAAACCAUAAUGUAAUUGAUGAAAUUUAAAAACAUAUAAAUGAUUUGACAUAAUUGAUGGUAGAUUUUCGAUAAAUACUAAAAAAAGCAUAUUUCGAUACUACAAGUAUAUUAAGACAUUAACGAAAUAAUCAUCUUUUCCUCUUAUUUGUGGAUACCCAUCUUUUCAUUUCUCUGAUCUUAGAUGGGCAACCAUUCAUUUGCUAAGGAUUAGGUCCCUUUCAAGAUGGGAAAGCUCUUAUUUCACUCCUGGAAAAACACAUACUGGGAAUUCAAAGCAGCUUAAUUAUAGAAGGAAAAACAGCCUGUAAAGCCAAGCACUAGCAUAUAGUUGUUUUCAGAGGAAGAAAAGAGAGAGAGAGAGAGAGAGAAACAUGAUGGGUAUGUUCAAUUGAAACUGAACAAACAGAGACAACAAGAAGAAAGCAGAGAAAAGCCAAAUGCAAAAGCCUUGGUUUUUCAUAGCUCAGUGACUGACUCUACAAGGACACUUUCAAGAAUGGCGUGCUGAUGCCCAUCUGGUCUUCUACCCAACCUUGUGGUGAUUGAUGUGGAAUCCACCCACCAUUUUUGUUAAUAGAUGUCAUAAUUGUUUCUUUUCUGUUGGGUUUUUCAUCUUAAUUUACAAUGGUAAAUUUUUUUUUUUUCCCUCUAUGUAUACCAUUUUUCACUUUUAGGACAUAGGAUUCUUUGACAAGUACUUCCACAAAGGUUUGAGGUAUGUGAUUACUUUAACUCAUUGUGAUAGAUCCCAGCAUAUCUCAGUUUUGAUUGGUGUUUCUCUACCUAAGAGACAACAGCAGACAAGUCUUUUCCAUAUGGAACAGAUGAAAAUUUUCUUUUUCUCCAAACAGGUACGGUCUUUCUAUGUAGUAUUUUUCAAAGUAAUUUUUUAUUUUUAAAAAUAAAUUUUAUCCUAUACUGUAAUUGUUUUUCAUACUAAAAAGUAAAAACAGGUCUAAUAACUUUUCAGUAGAAGAUAGUUUUCUGAAAUUUUGUUUUGAAAGUAAGAUAUUUUCUAAGAAUGUGUUUUAAUUACUUUCCAUCUUUUUCACUUUUUUUUUUUAAUGCGUAAGGGGUAUUUUUAAAAAUAAUUAUACAAAUAUUAAGAGUAAUUGAAAAUGAAAUAUUAUGAAUAAAAAUUCUUUAAAAAAAAUAUUUGAAAACUCAAAAAAUUAAAUUAACAACAUUUCAAGUUUUUAAAUAAAUUUUUGUUUUAUAAAAUGUGAAAAAACUAUUUUUUGAAAUUGUUUUUAUUACAUGUUGCAUUUAAAACAUUGUCAAACAUUGUCAAACAUUGUAUGAAGUUUUGUCUAUAAGACAUUUUUUUUAUUAAUUUUUGUAAAAAAUAUCAAGUAUUCAAACUUUCGAUAAAAAAAAACCAAUUACGAUUUAGGUAAUUUUACUAGAUUUAUUUACUAUGCUCAACUUUUUCAUUAUAAUCCCUUAAUCUUUUAAAUAUUACCUUUUUUUAUAAACCAUUUAAGGGUAUGCUUGAUUCAAUAUAUUUUUUUAUUUGAUUUUAUUAUAAAUAAAAAAAAUAUAAAUGAAAUUAGAAUAAUAUAUAAAAAUAAUUUACUGUCUUUAAAAAAAAAUUCUUUUUUUUUUUUCUGCCCAAAAACAUAAUUUAGUAAAAGUUUUAGAAAGGGUUGCAAAUUGAGAAGGGUCAUUCUGUAAAGUAACGAAAAGGGGUUGGAGUGGCAUGUGGAGGAAUCAGUACCCAAAAAUUUAAAAAUAAAAAGAUAAAAAAAUAAAAAAUAAAAGUAGUAGAUCCAUAUGCGGGGCAAGUGGCGUAGUUGCAUGGCCCAUUCCCAAUAUAUUUGUCUCUUUCGCUUUGGACUCGAAUCUACGCACGCUCUCCAUUCACCCCACGCUCCUUUCCGGUUUCCGCCUCUAUUAAAUAAGAUGCUCCUCUUGGAAUAUUUUUUUCCAUUUUCUUUUUUUCUUUUUUUAUUCCCCUUUAAAAAAAUGGUGUGAUGUCAGCAAGUGUAUCCACGUCAUUUAAUUUUUUAAAAAUUUUAGUUUAAGUAGAUUGGAAUAUUUCCUUCAUUUUUUUUUACCUUGAAAUAUCUUUUACAAAAAUAUUUUGAAGUUUUAAUAGAAAAAUUAUAUGUAAUUAAGAUAGUAUGAUUAAUUUUUUUAAAUAAAAAAUCAACAAAAAGACUAAGACACGUGUGGAUGACAUCUUGUGAAUAACAUUCAAGGAAAUAAAUGGAGAAAAAAGAGAAGAAAAUCGUUUUUUUUCUUUCCUUUUUAACUUUAUUUUAUACUGAAAUUAAUAAUAAAAGUUUUAAAUUGUUAAUAAAUUAUUUAUGGGAAAAAUGUAAAGUAAAUAAAUUAUUUAGAUAUGAUUUUUUUUUAUAAAGAUUAAAUAAUAUAAUAUAUAUAAUUUUUUAACUUGAUUAUAAUUAGAUUUAAUUUUUUUAUUGAAACACCAAAGAUAAGGAAGAAAUGGAAUUCAAAUAGAAUUAAAUGUAUUUAUAAAUUAAACAAAUAUUAAAAGAAUAAAAAUAAUAAUAUUUUUAUAUAAAUAUAAUGAUUCAAUUAAAAUAUACUAUUUUUUAAAAUUGAUUAAAAAUUAAAGUAUAAAAAAGUUUUUAUUAACUAAAUUUUGAAAUAAGAUAAGUCUUUUAAAAAAAAAAUUCAAAAACCCUUUUUCUUUUAUUUAGGGUAAAAUCUUAAAAAAAAUCAUAUUGAAUUUCAAUCAUUGAAAAUUAAUUAAUUUAAUGAUUGAAAAAAUGGAAAAAAUGUAAAAUAUUAAUUUAAGUUUGAUGGACCAAAUGGAGGGUGGCUACCACGUCCUAUGAACCUUCCUUUAGUAAAUGGAAUUUUUGGUCUCAUCCUUGUCUUUUACAAGGAUGACGUGGAGAAAACUGAUUGGUGGUGGAGCAAAAAGCCCAAAGUUGCGGACCUCACAUGAUGAUCCCCUCGUGUGGACCGAAUCGCUGCGUUGUAUCGCAGAAGGGACGAGGACAAGCCGAACACGAAUCUCCACGACCAAAAGGCAUAAAUCAACGGUGAUUAGAUCGCAUCAUAUAAUAUAUGCAUCAACACAGAAACAUUCCCCAAAUGCCUCUCUCUUUCUCUCUCUAGUUUCUCUGUCUAUGAAUAUUCAGCAAACUUAACUCUUUAUCUUCCUUUUCCAUCCUCUCCUCCGUCGCUCUCUCUGGUUGCUCCAUCCUCUGUUUGGAGGACCUUGACCCACCUCCGCAGGCCCAGCUCAGGUCACUUCUCUCUCUGGAUUCUUUUAUUUCAUGGGUUUGUUUAUGUGUUGGUUUGAUUGGAUCUGAAACCCCCCUCGUUUGAUCUGUGUGUAUCAGGUGGCGUUGCCCAGAUCUUUGAUUUGUGGAGGAUGAUGAAGGGUUGUGCCAUGGAGCAGAGCAGUACGUACGCGGCCUGUGAGGAGAUGAUCAUGAUGAUGGGUUCCGUCUCCGUCGUUUGCCCCAAGCCUCGUCGCCUUGGCCUCUUCAACAACGACCACAUCCCACCCCGGAGAUGGCACAUGCAGUAUGUUUUCCUUUUUUUUUCUUUUGCCGAGAAAUUCUUUGUUUUCUCCGGAGAAAAUACCCUUUUAGUGAUUGGAUUAAUUAAUUUUAGUUUUUCUUGUUUGCCGAACACCAGUCAUGAUGAUUCCAAGGAUGGGUCGGAGCUUCUUGACAUCAUUCUCGCCAAGGUAUUGUUCUGUUCCACUUCUCUUUUGUGGGUUCCGUUCAACGAUGAUGUCUCUAUUCUCACUACGAUUCUUCUUCUCAUUACAGGGAUCCGAAAGAUCGGGCCACCAGGUGGCUUCAUCUCCACCAUAUUUUUGUGGGUCACCGCCGAGCAGAGCUUCGAAUCCCGUAAUCCAAGACGCCCAAUUCGGGAACGAAAAGGUCACACCCUUCUCUCGGGCGCCGUCACCAGCCCGCAAACCCGCUGGAGGAGGAGGGGGAGGAGGAGGAGGUGGGGCCGGUGGUGUGAGAAUGAUGAAAUUCGGAUCCAAGCCGGCGGCGGUGAGGAUUGAAGGGUUCGACUGCCUGGGCAGAGAUGGGCAAAGCCGCAGCAUAUCAGCCGUGGCAUAGGCCCCCCUGAAACCAAAGUUUUGGAAAAUGCAGAGGAACUAAUGGUAGAAAUUAUGUGUAUGUAUAUACAGUUGAAUUGAAUUGGUUUUGAAGACAUAUAUAUAUAAUAUAAAUAUUUAUAUAUAUAUUUGUGGAAUAUUGAGUUGAUGAAAGAGAGAGAGGAGUGUUAAUUUUGAAGAAUAAGGAGAUAGGGAGGAAAGGGAGAGACUAAGAGGUCUUUCCCUUACUAGGGUUUUGAUUGGAGUCUGGUGGAGAGAGAAAGAGCCUGCCCUCUGUCUCUUUCUCUGUCUUUGUUGUGUGUGUCUGUAAUUUUACUCACUCUGGUCCUUCAUUGUAAUUGUAAUUUGAGGUGAAGGGGGAAGGAGAAUGGAGAUGAAGCUGGGUCUUCUUGUAAUUUUGCUACUUUAUUCCGGGGUCUUUUGGACCUUAAAUAAUUCUGUAAAGAAGCACGUGCUGUGCCUAUUGUAAAUAUUUUAUAUAUUUAUUUUAUUUUGGUGGGUGUUAGGUUAUUAUGAAUUUGACUUUUAUUUUCAAAUAACAAAUUUGAUUUCGUGUCUUUGAAAAGUGGAGCAAAUAUGACAUCAUGGCAGAUUUGGGAAAUUAAAGAAAUUGAAUGAUAAAAAUAAUAUUAUUUGCAUGCCUCAGGGCAAAGCCGCCUCCUGUGGAGGUUAGACUUGGGACAGGGAGUGGAAGACAAAAUAAUUGGAAGGAUGAUGAAUUGUCCACUGUAGUGUCUACAGUAUACAGGUGGCCUUGAGUUGGACUUAAGCUUUAAAGAUGACAGCUGCUGAUCUCACCAACUCCCUACUUUUCGCGCUUGAAUUCUCUCUCAUUCUUCAUUGCUUCCUUCCUACCUCUCAUCCUCUGCCCCUGCUUUCUGCUUAGUUCUUUUCUUUAAAUUCAAGUCACCGCGGUUCGCUCUCUCUCUCUCUCUCUCUAUUUUCGCCUUUUCCCUAGAGCGUUUGGCUACGGCAAAAAAGACGUAUCCAUUGCAAUGAACGGCAUGGGCUCAGUCGUCUGGUGGGCAUGACUUUUCAAGAUUUUUAGUCAUAUCCACCAGCAGGCUGAACCCAUGUCGUGCUGCCCAUAGUGGGCUAGUUUGUAGGUGUUAAUGGGCUAGCCGCUAGCCUUGUUCUUAAACAGUAUAAAGACUUUGGGCUCAAGAAAAUCCGAUAGUGAAGGACAAAUUUGCAAACUUGUUCAUUGUAUGACAUGACAUCAUAGAUUUUCUCAGUUCUUGAAAUGACAACCAGACAGAUUAGAGUAAUUAACUGCAAAAAAUAAUUUUCUUAGCUCGUGAUCGGAUACAGUUCCUAUUUGUUAUUUUUAAAAAUAUAAAAUAGUUAUGUUUUUAAAAAAACACUUUUAACCUAAGUAGUGUUUUUAAAAAAUUACCAAUUGUUUGAGAAAAUUUAGAAAACAUUUUUAAAAUUUUAAAAAAUUACUUAUAAGGUUAAAAAUUACUUAUAAUGACUUUUUAAGAAACAUUUAAUAAAUUUUUUUUGUAAAAAUACUUCUAAAAAAGCACUUUCAUUAAAAAGUAAAAACAUUUCAAAUUGAGACAUUAUUAAAGGCAUUGUAAGAGUCUUUUUAAGAAAACACUUUUAGCUUAAAUAGUAUUUUUGAAAAAAAAAUUGUUUAGUCAAAUUUAAAAAAUAUUUUUAAAAUUUUGAAAAAUUAGUUAUAAUAUUAAAAAAUUAUUUAUAAUAUUUUUUUAAAAAAUACUUAAUAAAUAAUUUUCUUAAAAAUAUACUAAAAGAAUACACAUUUACUAAGAAUGUAUUUGACCGUGAUUUUAGAAAGUGUUAAUAAUCCUUUUAAUGUUUGAAAAAUAAAAAAAUUUAAAUAUUAAAAAAACUAAAAACAAUUCAUAAAAUCACUAUCAAAACGCACUCUAAAACCUUUUGAACAAAAUAAAGUACUUAAAAUUAAGCUUUUCAAGGUGUAGCCAACAAAGCACUUGUUCUAUCUUCUCAACACUUUUAUAAGGUCACGCCAUAUUAUGGUAUCAUUACUUUGUAUUAAACUUUCAUUUCAUCAUUUUGCAUUUUGAUCAAAUUCUUUUAUGUUUGAUCCUAUUUAGUUACGGGUAAACUAAAAAGCCUUACAAAUUGAAAGUUUUGAAUUUCCACUAACAAAUAACAAUCAAUCUCUUUUUUUUAGGCUAUGUUUAAUUAUCAUAAAAUUUGAGCGCAAAUGUGAGACAAAGAAAAUAGAGAGGAAAAAUUGAACGAAAUAAAAAGUGAAGAAAAAAAAAAUAGAUUUAAAGUUAAAAAUUAUUUUUAUAUAUUGCUUUAAAUUUAUUUCAUUUAUUUUCCUUUAUUAUAUAAAUAUUAAAUAAAUUUAAAAUGCAUGAAUUUUAACUAAUUUUAAUUCUAAUUAAUUUUCUUUCACCAUUUUCUAUAAUGAUGAGAAAAUAAUUUUUGUUAGCAUUUUUUCUUUCCUUAAUACUUUCUUGAAACCAAACAUAACCUUAAGGCUAUAUCAAAGUUAAGUCCAUAAAUUUUUUUAUAAUUAUAAAAGAAUAAUGAUAUCUUUAAACAUACUUGAUUACUUUAUUGGAUUCAUUUUCUACCCUCCAUGAUAUAUAGAAAUUUCUAUUAAAAACUUUCAAAAUUUUUUAUACAAAAGAAGCAAAUGUGUAUGUCUAUUGGGAAGUGAGACCGAAAAGGGUCUAUUUAUUGUUGAUGAGCCCUUUGCUUAUAAGUGUAGUAGUUUACAGAGUGUUUGGUAAUGAUUUUGGGAAGUAUUUGUGGGAUCUUUAAUAUUUAAAAAAUAAAAAAUUUAAAGUGUUAAGAAGACUAAAAAUACUUCCUAAAAUCACUAUCAAACACACUUUAAUCUCCUAAAUGUUGCUUUUUAAUUGUUAAAUCCUCUUUUUGAUUGUUGAAAAGCAUGCAAACCAUGAAACAAGGAUUUGGGGUUAGAAAUUUGUUUUUGAAAAUAAUUUUUUGAGAAUUAAGAACAUAAAAUAAUUUUUUAAUUCAAAAAACAUGUUUAUUAAUUUUUAAAAAAAAAUUAUUAUGAAAACAAAUUAUUCUUUAGAAUAAAGUAGCUGGUUUUUUCUUCUGUUUUUUUUGUCAUAUUUGAAUUUUCUUACAAAAAUUUAUUUUAAAAAAUAUAUAUUUUUUGAGAAUUAUUAUUUUUUAAAUGUUUCUACACAAUUUGUAGGAAGUGAAUUUUACCAAUUUUCAUUAUAUUUUGGGAUUGAAGCAUAUGAGGUUGGAUGGAAUAUGACCUAGAACAGCCAGUUAGCUAAGCUUUUAUGAUUGAUUCGACAUCCAUUCUUUGAUUCUAUCCUAGUCUCUCAAAGCAAAUUUUGGUCAUUAUAAGGCUGGAUUGUAUGUGGUUGAGCUUUUUCUAUAGGCUUUCCAUACUUAUCCACUACCACAUUCUAAAGGGAGCAGUUGUGUUUGAUUGGGAUGCAAUCCAUUCAUUAUUACAAGAGACUUGUUAUUGGGAUUUAUAACUUAUACCCACACUUUCAUCAUUGAUAUAGUAAUAAUAUGGUGAGUGAUGUUGGUGAUAGGAAGAUCCAAGUGAUUAAGAGCCCGUUCAGUGAUUUUAAAAAAUGUUUUCAAAUUUUUUAACUUUUUAAAAUUUGUAUUGUUUAAAUGUUAAAAAGGUAAAAAAUAUUUUCUAAAAUUACUACCAAACACACUUUAAAAGCCUAUUUGAAAGUGAUUUUAGGAAAUAUUUUUAAAGCACAUUUUGACGGUAAUUCUAAAAAGUGUUUCUACUAUUUUUAAUACUUACAAAUUUUUAUUUUUCAAGUAUUAUAAAGAUUAGAAACACUUCCAAAAAUCAUUAACAAACUUACUCUUAAUUUUUUUAACACUUUAAAUUUUUUAUUAUUUAAGUAUUAGAAAUAUUAAAAACGUUUCCUAAAAUCACUCUCAAACGCACUCUAAAAAAUAAUUAUAUUUAUAAAUCAAAAUGCAAUUUAUUUCAUACGGAAUCAAAUAUUCCACGAGAAUACAUACCACAUUGGCAUUAAGAACCCGUUGUACAAUCUGUUAUUUUAAAAACAAUUUUUUAUGAUUUAAAAAAAAAAAAGGUUCAACAAUCAAAAAAUACAAAAUAAUUUUUUUCUUCUUAAAAAUAAAUAACAUGGUAUUUUUAGAAAACAUUUUUUUAAUUAUUUUAAUUUGUUUUCUAAAAAUAAUUUUUAAAAGUAAUUAUAUAAAUAUAAAAAAUGAUUAAAAAUAAAAUACUACAUGUUAAAAACAUUACAACUUUCCAAACAAAUUUUUAUUAUAUAAAACAUUAAAGAAUAUUGUUUAGUGUUUAAAAAGUCCUUGAAAACUAUUUUUCAAAAUUAUUAUCGAAAACACUUUUCAAAUAUAAUUUUAAUUUUAUUUUAUAAGGGAUGUGAUUAAACAAGGAAUUAAAAAAGACUUCAAAAUUCAACAAAUAUGAUCAUAAAAAAACCUAUGCCUAAAUCCGAGUUUGAUUUGUGCUUGAACUUGGUGAAUAUCAAAGACCUUGAAUAACCCUUUGAGGGCAUCUACGGUGAUCAAAGAAAGAUUAGAUUCUAUUUGAAAAUUGUUUUAGAAAAUCGUUUGGAAAAAUAGUGUUUUAUAACUGUUUUUAAAAAUUAUUUUUUGAUAUUUUGUAAAAUAAAUAUCUAUUUAAAAAUUAAUUUGAAAUAUUUUUAUAUUAUUUUAUAUGUUUUAAAAAUAAUUUUUAUAUACAAUAUUUUAUUUUUAAUCAUUCCUGAAUAAUUAUUUUUUAAAACUAGUUUUAAAAAACAAACGAAAACCAGAAAAUAAUUGUUACCACAGCUAGGCAAUUGCGAAGAAUUACAGCACCAAACCAGGAAAGGAAGCCGGUCCCUGACGUUAUGUUGAGGGUAGCUGUGCGGCUUGUGUCUCACCAAACUUUUGCCUUUGACCUUCAGGCACUUGCCAACGCUCUUGUGAUUGCCAUGGACCCGAGCAAGUUGUGCUGGCUGAUGGGUUCCUUUCUAUGCUCCUUUUCUUGGCUUUGGCAUUGUAAAUAUUGGUCAUGUGACAAGAAACUUCCCUGAUAUUUUAAUGCUAUCUGAACUUAUCCAACACUCAACCAUAUAGCAUUUGCUUGAAGCCUUUCACAAUUUCGUGUGAAAAAAAAAAAGUUUAUUUAUAAAAUUUAAGGAAGGAAAAUAAGUUAAAUCAGUAAUCAUUCUUACCUUGAGGUUUUGACUAAAUAUAUCUGAUACUUAUUGAUUUGAAAUUUCGUUAAACACGUGUUUUUUUCGUUAUUUUUAUUUAUUAUUUUCAUAACUCUUAUUAAAAUAUAGGAUAUUUGAUGAAAUUUUAAAUUAAUACAAAUCAUGCAUAUUUAACGAGAACUUGAAAAGAGGCGAGUGAAAUUAACCCUUUAUAUAAUAUAUGUUGUCGGAAAAAAAAAAUCAUAGAAUGAAUUCAUUGACAUCAUGGGAAUUCAUUGUUAAAUUGGAAGAAAUAUCUUGAAAUUGGGUUUUCAUUGAAAUGGAGGAAAGAGUAUCAUUAGCCUCUUUGACAAAGGCUAGCUAAUUGGGUUUUCAUUGUAUGUCAAAGUUAUGUACAACCUACUACUACAAAAAAGAAACCCAUCAUCAAAGAAAUAAAUUAAAACAGGAUUGAAUAUAGAGGUGCGAAAUUGAUCAAUAUUAUUUAAUGGUCCCACAUGAAAAUAGCCUUUCCAGCAAGUCCAUUCAAUUUUCACAAGACAUCCAACCAUAUCCUCAAGGAUGACCUCCCACCACACAAUCCUUGUACCACCUUAUCUCAUAUAUAGAUAGGAAUGAUCAACACUUACAGAAGUAUAUAUUAAGCAAGCAUGAACAGUAAGUAAAUAUAAAGCUGAAAGCAAAGAGCAUAGGUAUUAUUAAAAGUGGUGGCGUUUACAUGGCCACCAACGAUUAAAACAUCCGACGAUGAUGAUACACCAUAUCCUCAUACAAUAUUCCAUUGCAUUACUCCAUCGGAGACUUCGAAUAAGCAAAGAAAAAACAAAAAACAGACACAAAAAAUAAAAUUCCACAAGGGUCCUAAACAUGAGAGUGAAAAAACAUGGACAUCAAAUAUUGCGGAAACAGGAUCAGCUGGGCUUGUAGGCAAUGAAAGCGAUGCAUUGCACUUGGCGGUUAUUGUCGAAUCCGAUGAUUCGGAUGUGGGCGUCAGGGUACGCGGUCCUGGCUUCUUGCACCUCCUUAAUCACCUGGGCUGAGUCAGUGCACCCGAACAUGGGCAGCUUCCACAUGGUCCAGUACCUUCCGUCGUAGUAUCCUGGCGAUCUGUUGUGCUCUCUGUGGGGGUAUGGGUACUGCAUUCACAUACAAAAUAAUAAUCCAAUUAUUCUACAAAUUAAACCUCUAUAAUCCUAGUUUAAAAGCUUCACAGAAAAGUUCAUGAAAAUAACCAGCUUGGUGAAUUCCAAGCAAGGAAUCCAUUUCAUGCGGAGAAGGUAAUCCACUUCCUUGCAUAGCUGUUCGUCGUUGAGGGGUGGGAGGUAUGAGAGAGUCUCGAACUUCAUCAACCCUUCUGUAGGCCAAACCUGUGGUUUUCACAUGUACAAUAUCCACAGUUUAAUUCAUCAUAUAUAAAAAAAUAAAAAAUAAAAAAAACCCAGACUACUAAUGUCUUCUAAUUGAAGUGAAGUUGUGACUUGUGAGGCAGGGUGGUGGCAGUACCUUCAUGCAGCGAACUCGGCCACCAUUGCUAGCGACGGAGGUGAUGUCGGUGUUGGCUUUUCGGGUGCCAGGGAAAGUCGACAAAGAUUUGAGUCCGGUGAAGGGGGCCACCAUGUUGGCCUGAGCCGGGGUAGCACGGUUGAUUGUAGCCACGGUGGCGGAGGAGACCAUGGAGGAAGCCAUUUUCGCCUUUUGGGUUUUGCUAACACCACCACUGCCUUGUGAGUUAUGGCUC